rnacentral:lncRNA from 1 species
GAGGAGAGUGGCAACUUGUCAUCCUACCCCUCAUUAACAUAUCCACGGCUUGUGAGGAUGAUUGGGAUAACUUAGUCAGCUCUAGCUUUGUUUUCUCACCUUGUUUGUGUGUACGUAUGAGUAUGUGCUUGCGUGCAUGUCUGUGUCCUGUGCAUGUGCGUGCAUUUGUGGGGACAUGGGGCCAAAAGGCCAAAUUUAGUUGAUAUUCUUUCAUUAAGAGAGGCUUUGAACAGUAAAGGCUUUGUCAAGGUGUACAUCUUGCAGAACUGAUGCCUGAGAGGCUUCUGACAAUUUACUUGGGUUUAUUUCUUAAGGGUUUGUUUGGUUGCUGGUGAUCUAACAUGCUGCUGUUCUGGAUACUGUAACUUCAGUCCAGUGUUUGGUUUCAUGUAUUUAGAUAUCUAACGUGUAAUUGCAUCCCCAUGUUUUGCCUCAAUUGCAAGAAUUCAGCCUACAACAAAAAGACUAUAGGACUACAUUAGUUGGCGGGUGAGAGUUAUUUGUAACAAUAAAAAUUAGUUUAAUUUAGUGUUGUAAUAAUACACAACAGUGUAUAAACUUAGUUACAUUAUAUAAUAUUGCAUCUGUAAAUAUUAUUAUUAACAACAUUAUAAUGCUAUAUUAUUAAUAAGUUUACUUCUUACAAAAAUAUUAUUUUAACAUGCAAUAUGAAAAUAAUAAAUAAAAAUGCUAAAUGUAUCAUUUUCUUGUCUUGUGAUAUUUUUAAUCUAGUAAUAUAUGAGAUAUAUAAAUAUUUUAAUAUUAUAUAUAAUUAUAUGGUUGUAAAUAUUUUAUUAUUGUUGUAAUUACAAUGUCAUGAUAAUAUUAUUACUAACUAUGAUGUUUUAUAUACCAAAAGACUAGACAAGGUUCUGCUCGGAGACUAAGUGGACAGAGAGGCCCGAUGAUAUUGAGAUUGCCUUUUUUUCCUUCUCUUUUCUUCUGUAUCUUGUUUCUUCAAUCUGGUUAACCUUGGAUAACCUUUUGUAGUUGCAUUCUAUUUUUAAUAAAUCUGAAUUGACCUGUAGGCUAAUUCUUUUCUUAAGAAAAACUGUGAUAUAUCACACACACUGCAAUAAUAUAAUACGAUACAUGUCAUGUUAUAUUGAAACUAUAAUGUGAUAAUGACGUAAUACAUAAUAAUCAAAAUGUACUAUAAUUUACGAUUUUAUGAAUCAAUAUUAUAACACAUUGUGUUACUAUAUUGUAAUAAUAUUUAUAGUUGACGUCAACUAACAUAUUAUUCCUCAAAAAAGACAGGUAUUAAUGCAUUAAUUGUAAUUUUAUUAUAAUAAACAUAUGUUACUAGAAUAAUAUAUCAUUAUACAUUAUCAAAUACGAACUGUAGUUAUAUAUUUUACUUUAAGUAGGAAAAAUGGAUGAAGUUUUGGGUAGAAUGGUGGUGCUCGGAGAAUGAUGGAGUUUGCUUAGUAUGGUGGGUGUGGAGCACCAUCUUCAGAUUCUAGUCACAGAAUUCUCUAAAUUUUUGAAAAAAAUCAUGAAUUAUUCAUAUUCAGCAAGUUUACUGAAUUAUUCACAAAUUAUUCAUCCCCUGUGAAUCUUUGAUGAAUAUACUGAAAAAUUCGUAUAAAUUCACAUGAGUUUCUUUUUUGACGAAUUAGAGAAAAAUUUACUGGCUUGAAUCCUAUGUGGCUCGUUUUUCCAAGCCGCAAAGUGUUGAAGCAUGGUAGGCCACGGGCACCAAGAAAUGGGAAGCAGGUCUCUCAUUGACUUUGGAAUUUGAUUAGUUAUUGAAGCGUAUCUUUUUUUCCGAAAAGAAAACGAAGAGUUAAACACAAACUCCUCCCAUUUUCUUCUCUCUCUCCUAACCGUCCCAAGUUUCACCUACCACUCGCCUGUGCACUUCUCUCAUAUUAUUCUUUCCAUCAUUCUUCUCUUUGCAUCUAUUAUUCUUAUUCUUCCACAAGCCAUUGCCACAACUCUUUUUACUCAUGAACACCCAUUCCAAUCUGGCAAGGACAAGGACCCAUGACAAUAACCCACUGUUGACCUAUCUCCAUCUUCUCCAUGCAAGAUUUUUCUACUAUUUGUUGCAUAUUCUGAAUUUUAUCCGAUUUUUUCUGAAUUUAAAAGAUUUUUUUCCCGAAUUUUGAACCUCAACCAUUCUGAAUAAUUCCAAAAACUGGAGUUGUGAUUUAUGCUUCAGUCUUAGUAGGUUUCUUUAGGGAAGACUUUUAGUAGUCCUGGUGAAGUUGGAGGAAAGAUGUUUAAUAUGACUGAGGCUAAUUCUAAUUUUAGAGCAUAUUAAUUUUUGGGGUUUCCAUCAUUUGUGUGAAAUCAUUGGAUUUCUUCAAGCCUGUAUAUGAUUCAAGCCUGGUCAACCGCUCCACGGGAGAUCCUUCCGGUGGAGUUCCUUGGCUAAAGGGGAUUUUGAUUUGCUAUGACUUGAAGGAUGAGAACUUUAAAAACCAUGUUCACUUUGAGUUCACUUUUUUCUUUUUUUUUUUGGGAAUGCAUUAACAAAUAUAAACAUAUAUGUGUAUAUGCAUGCGUACAUACAGAACGCUCAUGUAUUUUGCUGGAAAGUUUCUUAUUUCUGAAAAUUAAAGUAUACUUUUUCUAUCAUUGCCUGCAAGCGGUUUUAAACUUCAGAUUAAGUUUUUAGAUUAUUUCAUAUUAAUUUUUAAGGUCUUAGGGAUAUUUAUGAUGAAUUAAAGGACAUGUAAGUUGGCAUUUAUGAUGAAAUUAGUUUUUCCUACCAAGAAUAACUCAUAUUUGUUAUUUACAAUCACCUGCCAGGUAUUUGAGGCAAGGAAUCAUUUUUAUGCCUUGCAGCAUUGCAUUAUUGUUACUCUCGUAGUCUUCUAAUGAAAUGAUUAAUUACAAUUCAACCUAGAGACAGAAUUUAGUAGAUAAUAUUACUUGCAUUGUCCUUCCCCCCAAGCAUUUGUUUGGGUGUCGAGUAGAAGCUUAGAGCUAGCUCUGUAGAAUAUGUACUUUUAAAGUGUCUCUCAUUAGGUUUAGCUUAACUCUUGGUUCUACUAAAGUUGUAAAUUGACAGUACCCAAUUUUUACUUUUACAGGCAAGGGGCUGCUGGAGGCAAGGUGCAUAGACUUGACCUUGAAAAGAGAGGACUAAGAGAAUCUAGAGCAAUUCCUGCACCUGAUGCCAAUGCUGAGUUAGCCACAUCAUUGCAGGUAAUGCUCUCUCUCUCUCUCUCUCUCUCUCAACACAUUCGCAUAAACACAUGCUCACUCUUUAUCACACCUUUUUCUCUGCAAAUCACUUGGCCUGCCAACUUCAUUUGUGUACCUCCUGAACUGUUUCCUUCAUUUUAAUGCUUGAUUGAGUCAAUGAUUAUGGAAACUUCGACCUUAAAAUUAAAUGUCUAGUUAAACUGUUCUAAUCAAGAAAGAGAGGUUGAUAUGAGUGAAUAAAACUGCAAAAUCCCUCAUGAUCUGUUCACGAGAUAUCCUACUACGACUCCUCCCUCUCCCCCUCACAUUUUCCUGCACUCUUUUGGGCAUUGCAAAAGACUUAUAUAUCUUCACCUAAACAUAAGCAUGUGAAAAAUAUAGGUACAAUAAAGAACCUAGCCAUACAUUCCAAUACCAAAUUGCGCAAUGCUUAGAGUCAGCGCAUUGAUCUUCUGAGCACUAGGAGUAGAUCCACAUGAGUUGUUUUUUCAUGGUUCUUUAUAAAGCCUGGAAUCAUGUUUUCUUUGCUUACUGAGACGAUAUUUUCCAACAUAUAGUGAGAGAAUAGUACUAAGAUAUAUUCAACUAGACUUCUGAUCAAUCUGGUGACUGACCUGUUGUCUGCAUGUGUACCCACAAAUUGUACAAAAUGCCUGCCUGCCUGGCAUUCUACAAUUUUUUACCUGGUAUAGUUUUAGCGGAUUUUUAUUGAUCAGUUAUCCAUACUUAAGAUUUGGAAUCGUGCAGCCUCUUUUUGCAGACUCCUGCUACAAUAUUCUAUUUUUCAUUUAACUCCAAUUUCUCCUCCUUCUUUAGAGGUCGCAUAAUCAUUAAUUGCUGAGAUUUGUUUUGGGGAUCAUUAAGACAAGGUAAUUAUAAUAUACAUUAGACUAGUAUUUUUCCUAAUAUAUAUCUGAAUUUCCAAGAUUAGAUUGUUAAUAUUGCCUGGUUGUUUAGAUGUUUUUACAGCAUAUGUGACUCUGAAAUUCUUUGGUUGGUGUAUUAUGCUUUAUCCUGAUAACUGUCGUUUUUAUUUUGAAACUAAUUACAGCUGAUCAUAAUCCGUGGGAUUUUUUCAAUGACUUGUAGAGUUUAUUGCUUGAUCUGGUACUUAAUUGUAAUAUGAAUGUUCAUUUUGAUUCCAGAAAAAGCAAAGCCAGUCCAAUAUCAAAAGCAGAAGUGAGAAGUUCAAUCCACAUCAGGAGGAGGUUGCUUCUGGAUUUCCAAUCGAGCCACCUCGGCCAACUCCAGUCCUAGAAGCAACUGAGGAUUCUCAAUCUCAUUACCCUAACAGGUCAUCCUAUUCUGGGCCUUUGGUCCAUCGAAGUCAACGAUCAAGAGCUCGGAAGAAUGAGGAUGACAUACCUAAGCCUACUGCAGUUGCUAAUAUAUCAGAUUUGUCUGGAUUAAUGGCAGGAAGGAGGAACCUUUUAUCAGAUGAUGGCAGUGAAAUAAUUGGUGCUCAAUUAAAAGCAAUUGCCCCAGCAGGCAGGUUGUCCGAAUCUGGUAAUGAGCCCUCAGAUGCUAUCACAAAGUAUGAUCAAAUAUAUCAUGGGAAAGAAGAUGACAGGAGCAGCAACAUGGAUCAAUCUAUUGUGAGUAGUUGUAACUGUCUGAACUGCCAUUGCGAUUUUUUUGUCUAUCUAAAUUUGAUUUGAAUUCAAUAGGAUAUAGAAGGAUGAGUAAAUCUCCCUUAUAUAGUCGUCUUAGGCAGAAAAAAUCAGGCCAUCUUCACUGUUGCUUUGUCAAUCUUUGGUUUGGAUGACGGGCCCACCACUUGCUCGAGAUCCAGGCAGAUUGCCUCCGCCAAUUUGUAUAUAUGAGCUGAUUAGUGGUUUAUGUUCCAAUGACACAUGGGUAUCACCUUUAUCAGGUAAUGAGUUGAAGCAUACAGAGGUAGACAUGCAUUGGGUGUGUGUGUGUGUGUUAGAAAACAUGGCUUGUUGUUUCAUGUUCCUUUUCAACUGAAAUAUGUUCCAAGCCUGUGGCCGUAAUAUUUGUAUUGAUUAAUAAGCUCAGCCUGACUUAGAAACCAUGCCCUGAUUGUUUCAUUUUCCUCUUUUUUUAGUAACUAUUUCAUUUUCCUCUUCAACUGAAAUAAUUUGUUCCUCAUCCUGUGACCAAUAAGAUUUUCAAAAAGUCUCUGCAUAGUGAAUUGCAUAAAGAGAGGCAGAUGUAAUGUGCUAUAAUAUGUUAAACAUAAAAUGUGAACACUUGCUGUACAUGCAUCUUAUAUUGCUUUUUUCAUGCAUUAUAGAUACUUAUGCAAGGUUUUUCUUCAAUGGGAUGCAUAAUUUUUUGAGGUUAUGUGACAUUGGUUAAUUUUAGGUAAAUUUGCUGAACUUUGACCUUACUGCUCAUAGAUUGAGGUUUUUUUAAAAUGUGGAUCUAAUUUUAUAUUCUUCCUCUUUCCACAUCUCUGAUGAUGUUGUGUGACCUUGAUUUGAUGUCUUAUAUCUAGAACUAGGUGGGGUCAUUUCUUCUUAUAAGUGCGCUAAUACUAGUACAGCUCAGUGGUUCCCUGCUUUCUAAGUGCUUAAUUUAUUAACCUAGCAGCUGGUAGCCUCAUGCGUACCUUCUAUCAGAUGAGCAUUGUGCUUUUUCCAUGUGUUGUGCUUUUUAAGUCCACAUGAAAUGCAGUAUUUAAUUUUACUGUUUGCAAGUUCUAUUCAUGGCCUCUGACUUGAAGGUUUGUUAAUAUCAUGUUUACAGCAGCAGAGUUGCGGAACUAAGGGAACCAAGAUCCACUAUUCUGGGCCGCUACUGCGCCCAUCAGGCAAUGUUGAUCAGAUGCUCAAGGAUCAUGACCGCCAGAUCCAAGAAGUCUUCCGACGGGCUCGGCUCGACAAGUCAAAAGUUAGGAAAGUUCAGGGCAAUGGUAACCAAAUUGGUGCCAAGCCGAGCGAUUUUGGCGCUAUUCCAGUGUAUCCCUCCAGCCGUGGGUCAUCGAUUCCAGUUUUUACUUCAAAUCGUGGACCUGUGCAGUAGAUGCUGCAGAAACGACUGCUGAAGUUUAGCAAUUGAUGUGAAGUUGGAACAACUGGAGCGGCUUUGGCUUCUUCACAAUUGGGGAAUUGUGGGUCUUUUGGCUGUCGGGUGAGAUUGCAGUCUCAGGGCAUGUACAGAGGUCUUUUUAUUGCUUGUCUAGUAUGAAUCUUUGUAAUGGAGAAAUGAUUUAUUAAUUGAGGUGAAUCUUAGCCAUCUAAAUCGAAUUGAAUUUGAGCUCUAUUUUGUAGUGUCAUUGUUUUAUCGCUUUCCUCUCUUACAGUUUGGUUUUAGUUGAAAGAUUUCACCUACCCAGUAGCUGAUCCGACAUGGACCGUCUUCGAUUUUCUUGGGCACUUUUGGUAUAAUAAGAUGUUCAAAUCAAAUUGGGGCCAUGGAUGCCCAACCUCCAAUGAUUUUAUCAACAACUGUAGAUAAUUUAAAGAUUUUAUAGUGGAAUGAACUGGUUGAAAUAUUUUUUACUUGCUGAUCACGUUUUAGAAAAUCAUAUAUUAAACCUGUACCAUAUAAUUAGAGAUGUUUAGGCCAAACCUAAAAGAAGCUCCAAGGGCAGAGGCGCAAUGCAUGUGCGACCUUGCAGCUCAUCCGUUCCCUCCAAGCGUACAUUUAAGUUCAAGUUGUAGUCUUCAUUGAGUUCAGAUCCUCUGUAUUUCAGUACUAAAUUGAAGAGGAACGUUUUUGCAAUUGCAACUGUUUUUAUGAUUGGCAUGAUAAUCGUGAGUGAAGGGUUCUACAUAAUGCAUGGUGGUACAUUACGUGGGAUCCAUUCAAUCACAAGUAUCACGUAGAUCAUGGAUGGUCUUGAUGGAGAACCGAUUCUCUCGUUUGAUAUUGAAGCAAGAGGAUUCUGAUCCUUCUACAAUGCGUUGCUUCUUAUUUUCCCUUAUUCAAUACUAGUUGCAGAGCAAAAGAUCUGAUAGCAAAUAUGUUUUAAAACAUGAUUUUGGUUGAAUGAGGAGCGGAGAAAAACAAAGUUUCGGUUUCUACUCGAGAGUUCCAUCACUAGAAAUGGGAGUGCUUUCAAAUAUAUUAAUACUACAUAAAGUAUUAUUAUAGCACCUAAAUCUACAACUUACACAUGCAAUGUUUUAAUAAGAAUGUUUUCUAGUAUAAUUACACUAUGGUUAUUAUUAAACACAUAGAGGGUUUGCUUGUUUGGUGAGUGUCUUGAACAAGAGCACAGUUGGCUUUCUUGGGCCAAAGCCACUUCGGCCAUUUUGUUUCCCUUUAAUUGGGUAAAGUGCAAAUUUCAGCUCUACUUGGGUCACCGCUUGAGCUAAGAUCUGACGCCAAUUGCCCAUACUAUUAUUAGGAAAAGCACAUAAAUAAGCACAGCGAUAAUUUAAAGGUAGAGGCAAAUCAAGAGCAAGUUGUGAUGCAUGCAUGUCAAGAUGAAUGAAGGUUCAUAUUGCAAUGUGUACUAGCAUGCUGUAAUGCGUAUAAGCAUGAAUUGUAGUGUGUAUUAACAUCCCUAUAUAAUAAAAAAUAUAAGAAAAAUAAAAUUGGAUCUGCAACAAACUUGGCAUUGUCCUUGUACAAAUUCUGGCCACUCCUACAGGUAUAGAUCUCAGGCUUAGCUUAUUUGCAAGAUACCGACGGACUUGAUCUACAUCGGUGGUGCUAACAUGCUAGUGGAUCCUUCAAGAACUCGCAAUCCUGCAUCUUUAUAUUGUCCAGGAAAAGAGAGUAAAAGAAAAUGAUGGAAGCAAUGUUGAGUUUCCUUUCCAUGUUGGUCCUAAGAGGCCUAACCUCUCUUACUCUCCCCAUGGGUCAAUGCCAUUAAGGCUCAUUAUCAUGAUAGAAUAAUGAGUGCUGCACAGUGUAGGUGAUGUGGGUAUUUAGAAUAAGAUCUUGAUCACUUAUUUUUUCAUUGCCCAGAGACUGACUCAGGUUCUCCAACCAUGUCUUUCAGAAUACAGAGGCUAUUUUUUUUUAUUUUUUUUGAGCCCACCAUCUUCUAGUCUGAACAACAUGGACUCGAGUCAAUUCUUGACUACCUCUCAUGGAUCAUUUGGAGAUUCAGAAAUUUGGAUAUCUUUUGAGAUAUGAAUGGCAUUUACAUUUUCUGAUGGAAACUAGAACAUGUCUUCACCAAGAUAGAUUCGAUGGGUCAGUAAAUCAAUCUUGCAACAAGCUACGACCUUAUCCAAAAAGAUUAGUCGAAAAGUGUUAUUUAGAUUUUUUAACCCUGUAUAAGUAUCCAAGAUCUAUUUAGUGCAUAGCCAAUAUGAGACUAAACAUAUACCUAUACAAUCCCCACAUACUUCUCUUGUUUAAGUCAUAGCAUCUUUUCCAGUCAUAAAUACUACAAAUCCAAUUACAAACACUACGAUCAGCAAUGGUCAGCUCAAAUAAACCUAUGCUGCAGUAUUUCUAACCUAUAUAUGCCAUGGAUGGGGUUCACUCUGAUACAAUUUAUAAUAACAUAGAAUAUCAUUCGAAAAAGACUAGCUAUAAAAGAUGUUAUUUAAGUUAUUUGACCAACUAUCCAAAAUCUAUAUAGUGCAUGGUCAAUGUGAGACUAAAUAUAUACCUGCAUGGGUCUUCAUAAUUGGGGUACACCUUGCAUGGAAAAACUAAUGUUAUCUAAGAAAGAGCGUGAUAACAAAAUGCAUUUGAUAUUACAAAUCAAAUGUCCUCAAAAAAUAAACACACACACACACACACACAUAUAUAUAUAUAUAUAUAGAGAGAGAGAGAGAUGAAACUUAGCUACACUCGAGUAGAUUUCCUAUUUAGAUUCGAUCGAAUCUAGAUCGAAUAAUGAUGGUUCUACAUCAAUGAUCCGAACUACUGAAUGUGAUCUGCUACUUCUAAACUGCUUAUAUACAAAAAAAAUAUAAUUUAGAGACCUUUAAAUUAUACAUUAAGUGAUAUAUAUAUAUAUAUAAUAUUAUUUAGACUAUCCAAUUUUUGACCACUUGAUGCAUAAACUAAAAGUCUUAAAAAAUAAUACGAUUGUUGAUAUAUAAGUAAUUUAGAGAUAGUAAAUCACAUCUGACGACUCGGAUUAUCGAUAUGGAACUCUUAAUGUCUGAAUUAGAUCUGACAGGACCUAAGUGGAUAACUACUCAUNNNNNNNNNNNNNNNNNNNNNNNNNNNNNNNNNNNNNNNNNNNNNNNNNNNNNNNNNNNNNNNNNNNNNNNNNNNNNNNNNNNNNNNUUUUAUACUUUUUGCAUAUAAAAUAUAAAUAAGAUAUAUAGUUGGAAAAGGACCUAAAGAAAGUAAGCCCAUCCGAGGAAGUGUCGAAAACAGCUGCUCACCUGGAGUAAUGACGGUCCCAUGGCAACUUCCGAUCGGUUUUAAAAGAAACGAGUAAGAAUAACCAACAAAGGGUGGGGUUAAAAAAAAAGUCGAAGCAAGCUAGCUAUACAUAUGUUUUCAUUCUGCCACCAGUAAACAAGCGUUUACUCAUGGCAACACGUGUACAUGCAGAAGGGCACAAAUAGUCACGAAAAGGAGGGAGGCAGCAUAAAAAAAAAACCCGUCUGUCGGACUUUUUUUUUGUAAAGGUUAGGCUCUAAAAAUAAACUUAAUACAGAGAACAACCAACAAAACUUAGGAGUAGUUACAACAAUUUGGGCACCAGUUGCCGUGAGCCAUCGGCAUGCGAACGUUUUAGCUUGAGAAUCCAAUGAAGAAGCCGCUUCUUAUGAUCCUGGCUGGUCAAGUUUGGAAUCGGGUCCAGUGUGCCAUCUCUAGCGACAGCAGAUUCAAACUGUUCCAAGACCUUCACAAUCUGCCAGAACUCAGGUCUCUUCUCUGGAUGCAGCGCCCAGCAUUGCUCGACCAACGCUCGCAAGGCUGCUGGGCAGUCGGGAGGAAUCACAGGCCUCAAGUUCUGAAAAGUCCAUUUUUUUGGCGUUAGAAACGUACUGACAAAUAUUUAGAUAGCUUCUGAUCAUAUUUCUUUUCUCUUGGCCAAGAUUGAAAUACGAACUUUAUGAGAAGUAACCCACGUAUUUCAUGGAACUGUUUUGACAUAACACGUCAACAAGGGUUAAAUUCUCGCAUUUAAAAACUUUGUUUCUGACAGGAAGCUGCUAAAAGGUUUCCCUAAAAAAAUAUUCAAAUAAUAAACAUACAGCUCUCCACGUAUCAAGGUUGUUUACAGGCAGCCAAAACCUAUAUACUGCAGAUAAACCAAAGGGAGGUGAACAAAGCCACGAGAGAAUAGCUAAAAAUAGCAGAAAACCAACAUUAACAUCUAGCACAAGUUCCACUUUAUCAUGUAACACACAACAUGCUAAUAAGAACAUUUCUAGUUAAAAAUAAUCUAAUAGGAGACUGUCACAGUUAUAGUAGUUUCAUGUAGUGAUCAGCUCUAUCCCAUUUUCAGAACGCUCAAUGUUUUUCGUGCAGAAAUCUCGAUACAAAUAGUAACUCAAAAUCUGGCUUCUCACAAGAAAAGACUCAUAAGAUAUAUAAAGAAAAAAACUAUCGAAGUAUCAAUGCAUCAAUAAAUUACAAUAAUCAAGAAAGAUGCUUGAAGGCAAUGUAUGCAAAAUCCUCCACUAUAAUUGAAAAGUGUACCUUAUCAACCACUGCAAAAGCAGCUUGGAUGGGUGUCAUAUCCUCAUACGGGACUCUUCCUGUUAUCAUCUCCCAUAAUACUAGUCCAAAGCUGUAAACAUCUACCUUCCUUCCAUAAUGCUUGUGUUUGAUCAUCUCAGGUGCCAUCCAACGAAAUGUUCCAGGGUCCUCAGCCAAUACAUCACAAUAUGCCUCCUCACAGGCUAUUCCAAAGUCAGCAAUUUUUACGCACAAGUCUUCAUCAAAAAGAAUGUUCUCAGGUUUCAAGUCUCGGUGGAUAACUCCCUGUGAGUGAAUGUAUUCCAUUCCUCGAGCAAUAUCUAGAGCAAUUGCAAUAAGUUUCUGUAGAGGAAGGGAUUUGUGUUCAAGCUUGUGUAAGAAUGCCCUUAGGGAUCCUCGAGAAAGAUAUUCAGUAAUUAUGCAAAAGACUGGUGGUUUUUUGCAUGCUGCUGCCAUCUGCAACAUACCAGAGAUAAUCAUGUGGGGAAAACAGGAGCAUCACAUACAUCAUUGCAUUAUAGGGUAGAAAUUCAAGUGAAUUCAGUCAGACAAGAUUGAGAAGUACCAGAGAAGUCUUGACAUGAUAAAUCUAUAAAGAUAGGCCCUUAAUCAACCCAAACUUAGCUAUAAUUUUUUUUGCUGCUUUUUGGUACAAACAGCUAUUGGAGUUUAUGAAGGUGCUAGCCUACCUAACAUGCAUAUUAUGUAUGUUGUCUGAAAAAUUUGAUAUGCUAUCACCUAAUGGCCUCCUACUUUCCUCUUCCUGAAAAUUUGCCACAUUAAGGUGGAUGCCUUGAGCAAUAAAAGGUUGCUAAUCUUUUCUGCACAACUUUAUAUUAAAUAGCUUUCAUUUCCAUUUUAUUACUUCCCCACUACUCCUCCAAAAUUAAAAGAUUGAGAGACAAACUAUCCCUAUUCUUACCACUCCAACUCCAGAGUUCUAUUCAUAGUUUUAACAUAAGAAUUUUCAAGUACACAAUAUCUGCACUCACCCAUCUUGCCAAUGGUAUAUAGAGUAAUUUCAUUUUGAAUUCAGGAUAAAGAUUUUAAAGAAGAUGGUUAAAAAUUGCAACCAACUUCAGUUUGACUACAUUAAUCCAUUAGAAAGUUGUGAAGAGCUAAAAACACCCAUGCAUAAAGAACCACCCACACGUACCAAAAAAAGAGAACCACCCACGAAGUCGUCCUGAACAGAGAUAGCAAAUAAUGCUCCAUAUAUAUGGGUAAAAUGUCAAGAACACAAAUAUCAUACUUAUUGCUUACAUGUUUGACCAAAGAAACAUUAGAGCACAACAGAAGCACUCACUGGGAACUCUUCAGUUGAUUAUGUUGAUAUAUAGGAGGCCACUUUAAGAAGACAUAAUUAUAUAAAUAUAUAUAUGUGUAUGUAUAUAUAUAAUUAAUCAGUAAUUAGAGAUCAUUAUACUUCUGUGAACACACAAUGUGCGGACAAGUUAAUUGGGUGGGUAUUCUUCAGUUGUAAUCAGAAGAGCAAAGCACUGAAAGCAUAAUAGAUCAAUCUGACGGAAGAAAUAUAUAAUGGAAACAACGAGCAGAGUCAACAACGAUUACCCAAAAGAUAGAUAUAUGGUAGGUACCUUAAUUACAUUUCGGUGAUGGAGAUGAGACAGAAGGGUGACUUCUCUAGUGAACUGUUUCUCCAGUCGGGCAGCCAUGACUCCAUUUUCAUCAUCAUCAGGUUGCCUAAUAAUUUUCACAGCAACAGGCUGAUCCUUAUAAAUACCAUGAUACAAUCGACUAUGAGCUCCUGAAGCAAAUCUAAGCCCCAAGGUACAGCUGGGAAAGAUCAACCAUCCACUCAUCGGUGGUCUCCACAGCAUUAACCCUCCCUCCACCAUGGUCCAUAUAUCUCGCCCAGGGACUCUCCUUACUCUUAUGCUUAUCCAAGGCUUUCAUAGAGGACAAGUGCUCGAGAGGGGGACUGAAGGGAGGUGAUUUUGAUUUGAGAGCAUUAUGAUCACGGGCUUCUCUGGAGAACAAUUUGCUAAAGACGCUAUUAUCUGAUCCCUUCCUGCUAGGUGGUGGGGUUGAGAAUCUCCUCCCACUAGCCCUACCUUCUUUGAAGGCAUCAGAAAGGAUGGUAGCUGGAAGUGGAGACAAAGACCUCUGCUUGGGUUUGGAUUUCCAUGCAUCAUCUGAUAGUGACUCUGAUUUAUGAGAAACAGAACCUAAUUGGAACCUUAUCGAAGAAGAGUCCAAGGCCUCGCAAGAGUUGGAACUUUUCAGCUUCAAUUUAGGAUCUUGAUCGGAGGAAGAACUGGAAGACUGUAAACUCCAACUCUUCGGUCUCCAUUUAGAAUCUUGAUCACGAUGAAAAGAAAAGCUAGAAUUCUCUAAACUUGACCUCCCUGGCUUGGAUCCACGAUUGCUGUCGGGCCGCGACGGCAAAGGAAACGACGGCGUGCUAGAAGAAUGCCAGAUCGAGUCCUUCUGAUUCAGUCGAUCGGUCGCUGAAGAAACUGAUGCCAAUGUACAAAGAUCCAAAGUCGAGCUAUUCAUCUUCAACUGCACAUCACGAUCAGCCUGGUUGGAAAGCGGGAUCGCCGGCAGCCGAGAAGAAUCCAACCAGUGGCAGACGGCAUGCGAGAACUUGGCCCCCCUCACCCAAGAGCUGCUCUCCUCCAUUGUACCCCGGAAAUCCGAGCCGAAGCCAAUCAAAUUCCGGACGCAGAGCCGCGGCAGAAACCCCUGAUUGAGACAAAGCCGGGGAGAGCGGAACACGAAUCCAAGAACACCUUUAAGCACAUCUAAGGACGGCCUUCGGAUCCACAUCAACGAGACAAUCCAAGCCCAGAUUGGGCGCCCAUUUCGACCAAACCCCUCAAAGGGGAGAACUCCUACGACCGUCUCCACCAGAUCAAUCCAUAAUCAGACAAAAAAUAGAGCACCACUCGGAGGGUAAGAAGAAAUUCCCACCUCUGCUAGCCCUUUCACAAAUCCGAUAAUUUGGAAAAUGGGAGGGGAAGGGGGGGACGGAGAACAAUCCAAGAACCAAAAUUUAUCAGGAAAAGGCAACGAGACCAGGGUCCCAUCGGACGCAAAGACGCAAAACCGCCACAAUUAUUUUCCCCAGCGACGAAGAAAUCACAUCAAAGUCCCUCCUUUUUUGCAAUAUUUAAAUAAACAUCUAAGAUUUCGGGGGAAAAAAAACACUUUCUGACAUCCCACCACCGAAAACAGUGAUCUUGGACUUCAAACAAUCAGAAGAAAACGGAUAAUUCAAUACAACAGGAAGAGAUUACGGGAAUCGUACAUAGAAGGAGCCAGGCACCUGGAGAGACGCACAGGAGCCCCUCCCGCUGACAACAAGAAACCCCCCCUCCUCCUCGAAGACAGACUGCUUCUCUCUUCGUCGCACAGGGUAGGAGAAGGAGGGGUCUGGUGCGGAAUCCGUCCCUCUCCCUCCCUCUCGCCGCCGUCUCUCUUUCCUUCUCAGCUUCCCUCGUGAUCUCGUUUUGGAAUUAUUCAAGGACGUACCUAAUACGGAAACAAAUGGGACUUGAAGCCGUUAUUAUUAUAUUAAUAAUAUCUAUUAUUAUUAUUAUUUGUUAUUAUUAUUGCCCGUUCUGCGGUUUAAAGCGCUUGUGGGUGGCGGUGUAUGGGACCCACCCUAAAGGAGUGGGAUAGGGAAAGUCAAAGAAAUAUUCUAUGCUAAGAAUAAUAGAAUGCAAGUGUCGCCAUCGAGAACCGGUCGUGCUGCUCGUGCAUCCUCUCCCCCCUCUCCUUCUCGGGAGGGUUUGGUUCGCGGAAAGAGAAGUAGAGAAAAAAAUACGGUCAACGAGGUGCCUCUUAUUUGAUUAUUUUUUUUGAAAAAAAUAAAAAAAUAAUUUUUUAUAAAAAUAUAAUUUUUAUGUUUUAUGAAAAAAAAAUUCAUAAAAAAAUAGAAAAAAUUACUUUUUCAUGAAUCGAAAAUUAUACUAUUUUUAUUUUUUCUAAAAUAGCCUUUCAAUAUUAAUAAGGUAUUAAAGUNNNNNNNNNNNNNNNNNNNNGAGGUAUUUUGGUCUCCUUUUGAGAUUUGAUAUGUCUUUGGACCGCUUAUUAAAUGCACAGUCAACAGGGACUAUUCGUUAUACAGGGGUCAAAAUUUGGACCGCGAAGCAAAUUCCCCAAAAAAAAAUGGGACGGUCAACGAGGUGCCUCUUAUUUGAUUAAUUUUUUUAAAAAAUAAAAAAUAAUAUUUUUAUAAAAAUAUAAUUUUUAUGUUUUGUGAAAAAAAAAUUUCAUAAAAAAAUAAAAAAAUUACUUUUUCAUGAAUCGAAAAUUAUACUAUUUUUAUUUUUCUAAAAUAGCCUUUCAAUAUUAAUAAGGUAUUAAAGUCCUAAUUUUUAUUAAAAGUAUAAUAGAAAUUACAUAUAACUUUUUCAAAAAAGUGGAUGGUCAACCAAACAUAGGCACUCUGCAAAUCUAUCAUUUUUCCAUUGUCAACCAAACAUUCCAAAAGUACUUUGUCAGAUGUCCUUUUUCAAAAAUCUGUUUUCCAGGAAUCAUAGUUCUAAAAGAAAAAAAAUGCUUUCCGCGAAUCAAACGAGCCCUCAGAUUGGUGGAUUUUGGUUUUACAUUUUUUACUUCAACCCACAAAAUUUAAGUAAUGUGUUUAAGGUGUAUAAAAUGGAAGGUAAAAACUUUUUAAAAUUGAAGUAAUAUAUUUAAGGUCCAUUUGGUUGGAAGUAAUAUAGUAUAAAAAAUUAAGUCUCAUAUUAGAUUACUCUGUUAGAUAUAAUAAAUGACAUAUCUUAUAUUUAUUUUUUUAAAAAAAUAAAAUAAAUACCAGAUUAGAUUAUCGACUGAAGGUAAUCUGCAAAUAUCAUUUUUUUAAUGAACAUACCCUCACUUAUGUUAUAUUAAUAUAAUUAUAUUAAUAUAUUGAUUAACAAUUUAUAAAUAAUAAUAUAUUAAAAUAUUUAUAAAUAAAUAUCAGUUAAUUAUUAGUUAAUAAUUUAUAAAUAUUUAUUGAUUAUCAAUAAAUCUAACAUAGGAUUUAUUAAUAAUUAAUAUAUUUGUUUAUAUGCCAAAACAUACUAAAAUUUAUUUAUAAUAAGAAAUAUAUUUUUUAAUAUGUGUAUAAUUAAUUUUAAAAUGUUUAUUAAUUUAUGUAAAUAUAUUUCAAUAUUCAAAAUAUCACAUAUUGAUAAUAUUUGUAUAAGUGGACCAUAAAUGGACAAUAAAUAGACCGAAAAAAAAUUAUUAUCUAGAUUAUUUAUUUAAGAAUAUUAUUAAAAAUUUGGCAAUAUUUCUAUAUAAGAUUAUCUUCAACCAAACAUAGUAAUUUUUUCUUGCUACCAUUGUUUAGAGUAAUUUUUUUACUAACCAAAUGUGCUAAAAUUUAUUAUUCUUCAUAAUUAUUUUUUUAGAUAAAUAAUUUCUAAAAAUUAUUUUAUUAUUCUGUAAUUCGACGUAUCCCAACUAAACAAGCCUUCAUGGUAUAUAUAAUAGAUGGUAGAAAACUCUUUUUAAUGUGAAGUUGUGUACAUUGGUGCAGUUAAUUUAAUUGAUUAGCUUCUCCUACUGGUUUUAUGGGUUGAAACAACCAAUACUAGCAGUCCUGGACGCUUGAUUCAUGAGUUCCACUUCAACCCUAAUAGGAAGGUAAUGGAUUGAAAUUGGUAAUAAUCAAGUUCUAGUUGUAAUAAAUUCCAUCCAGAAAGCUUUUCGUACUCAAACUUGUAGCAACAUGUUGCAUCAAUAAAGUUGUAAGUCGAACAACAAAAAAAGAUUAUAAAAAAAAAACCUCAAUUUGGUUAUGUUCUGGAGAAAGGGGCAAAGAAAUUUGAUGACAUUGGCCUUGUGGACCAGUCAUGUCAGCUGAAUAUUAUAGACACAUAUUAAACCAGCUAAAUAUUCAAUUAUCUUUUUAGAGUUACAAUUUUGAAUAAUCAAAUUAUUUUUUAUUCAGUUAAUUAGUUAGCUCCAAGAUUGUUAUUAUUAUUUUUUUUGGUUGCUUUCGAGAAAAAUUAGAUUAGGUUCGAAAUCUUGACUUGCGCGAUUGACACGCUCCACACUCUUGACGGGAUUACCUCAAAAUCAGCAUCAUAAGAAUGCAAGCUAACCCAUCAAUGGACUGCCGGCAGCGCCGUGUGUUAGGCCAGUGGAAUCUAUUCAAAUCCCAUAGCUAUAAUCACAGACAUCAAAGUGGAGGCAUGAGAAAGAGAACGGACCAGGACGCAGUGAAGCAUCGAGGAGCCCAACGACACUGGUGGAAGGUGAAAUGGUGGCUUGAUAAAGAGAGGCGGAGGAGGUGGUCGGUGCCUGACGAACCUCUUUGCCUUCUCUUCUACUCAAUGAACACCCUUCGCGGAUUUGGGGAUUGGAAAGAGCAAGACCACAAGCCAAAGAAUGACUAUGCCCCUGGCCUGAACCAUUCUUUUAGUCCUUUCUAUUUAGUGAAUCAAACACUCUCGUAGUGCAUUUCCAAGCAUUUAACAACUGAUCUCCGAUUCCCUUAAAAAACACAACUCAUCUCCCAUUGGAAAUGGCGAGAAAGGUGGGUGGAUUAAAGAGGCCAGUUAUCACAUCGAUGAUAUGCCGCUGUUUGUAGUUAUUGGGGUUGAUAUUUUGCGCAUGGGCGUGCAUUUAGGCCUGAGCUUGUAUGCUUCCAACCGCACGGGAAGUCCUUGGACGCAUUAAACUGUUUCAUUGGGAUCCAAUGCAUGUCGGGCAUCGCCAGGAUCCCCCGUCUCAAUUCAACAAAGUUCGAUGCUCUUGCAACAACAAUUGAAGAACAAGACCUAUAAAAUAUGCAUCAACCCCAUUAAAGUUCUCCCAUAAGUACUCUGAAGCUUCCAGUUCCUUGUAGCUCUGCUGACCAAGGUUGCCACUGCUGCGGUAAACCACCUCGAGGACCACCAUGUCCACGAUAGAAGCAAGCAAAUAAAUGGUAAUUUUGCUGAAUAUAUUUUUCUGCCGAAUAACAGAUAUCUUAUGGUCAGUCCAUGCAUGCUACUUCACAUGCAUGAAAAAUAAGGUAAAACAAAUAGGCGACUUUAAGGCACCGUAUAAAAUAUAAAGACUGAAUGAAGUACAUAUGUCAAUUCAUCUCAUUCAAGCUACAAAAUUGCAGAUUGAAGAACAGCUAUAGUAAAAGACAGGGCUACUGAUCCCCUUCAUCACUUGGUUGUAACCUGUUGCAUGCACCAGAAAAAAUAAAUGCAUUGCAAGUUGAAAGAGUGUACACAUAUGAGAAAUCAACAGCGACCUCGCCUUAAACAUGACAGAACAACAACCUCGCCUUAAACAUGACUGCAUUUAUUCAUUCAGCACCCUGCUCUGUUUAUCAAUGAAGAUGAUCCACCCCAUGAGAGUUAUUGUUGGAAGAAUUCUGUAAGAUAAUUCAACAUAAAAGAACAAAUAAAAUCCAUAUAUGAUGAUCUCACAACAACAUGCAAUUGUUUUAUUCCAAACAACAUAUUUUAAAGUUACAUAAUCUUUAACAACAAAGUGGAUCGCAUGCUGUUCAACGAAAACCCAGUGAUGCAUGAGCCUACCUUACAGAGUUUCUACACACGGUAUUCACUCUCUAUAUGGACAGUAGUAUAAGUUGAUCGUCUAACAAAGUUUCCCCUUCCUGCAAAACUCGCAUACACCUUGAAUAUAGACUAGUCUAAGCUCAGUUUCUCCCAAAAGUGUAGUAGCAUCCCAACAACACAAGCACCAGAGCCAUCAAUAUCACUGGAGCAGCCCAUAACCAAUAUGAAUGCGGUGGCUUCUUCCUCUUAAUGACGACCCUUGGGAGUGGAGCCUGACCUUUUGGGCGAUUUCUAUACCUACCUUUUUCUUUUUCUUUACUUAUUUCAAAAACUGGGGCAUCUACAUUCACAUUGGUUUCUUGUGGCUCCACGACCUUCAUGUCCAUUUCAGUCUGCUCAGCAGGAGAAGCAGGGGCAGUUGUCCCAGCCUUCUUAUUAGCUCUCUUCUCCUUCUCCUGUAUGAAUUAUAAAAGGAUUUCAAAUGUGAAGACAACACAUGACAUUUAAGUAGUUCAUCAGCAGAAAAACUAAAUAAGAAGAAUAACCAACACUUGCCUUGAGUUUCUUUUCAGCUUGCUUUUGAGCUCUGACUGCUGCUUUUGCUGCUGCUUUCUCAGCUAGCUUCUUCUUCCUCUCCAAAGCCAACUUAGCUUUUGCAAUCUCCUCAUCUCUUAUCAUCUCCUUCAACUUUACACUAUCAAUCUCUUCAACUUUUGAAGACUCCUUCUGGGAUUUCUCAGUUGCUGAAGUGUGCUCACUGUCCAUAGGACCACUCAUCUUUCCUUCUGAUGCGAUCUCAACUGAUUUAGUAUUGCCAUCAUCAUGUACCUUGUGACUAGUGAGAGUAUCAUGUAGUGGAGCCGGGUUCAAAUCCUCCUUCACUCGCUUCACACUCAUUUUAGCUGGCCAAGUCUCUGGUAUUGUGGAUGGUGGUCCCUCGGAAACAGUUGGCUUUUCGUCAAGGUUCCUCAUCCGUCCGUCCCUGCUAAGCUGUCGAAUGUCAAGGAAUGGCAAUAUCCUCUUCUCAUAAUCAUCUCUGAAGGCUUUAUUACUGCUCCACUGUGACAUAAAUUUCUCUACCUAAUGUGCGAAAAAAAUAGAUUAAUACAAAAACCUGAAUUGAUAGGAAAAAAGAAAAUAUAUAUUCAUGACAAACCUCAGCAUGAGCAAGCUGUUGCAGUGCUGCUAUAUCCUUCUUUGCAGCAAGAGCCCUGGCAGUGUUUAAGAGAGAACGGUUUUGGAAGCAACAUGCGUUCUGAAACCGAAGUAUCAAAACCAGCAUCAGGCAUAUGCAGCAUAGAAACUAUGCAGCUAUACCAUGUUGACCACCCAUCUUUGCAGCCUCGCUAAAGCUUAAAUAUGGUAAGAUGAUAUAAUGCACCAUCUUUGCAAAUAAAUGCACCCAAAAGUAAUUCAGAAAGGAAUCUAGAGAACAAACAUGUAAAAGUGCACUGCCACUUAAAUUUUAGUAAUGAUGAUUAAAAAUUCAGAAUCUAUUUGUGCAAUAGUAUUAACAAUUAGACAACCCCAAUAUCCACCCAGCAAGCUAGCCCAAAUUCAUUACAGAUGCAAAAGCCUACAAAGUAUUUCUAAUAAAGAUAUCUCGCUCUUAAAUGAUACAAUCCCAUUAAAUACCUCCAUUGCAUUGACAAGAAAUUGUUGGCUGGAUACCAUGAAGAAAAAAAGAACGUAAGUUAGGAUAGCCAGACAAGGUUACAUAUAAAACUGAUGACGCCAAGUUAGGUACCUACUUAUUAGCUCAGAACUAUACUUCCUCCAUUUGGACUUGUGGUUAAUGUGGUAUUGGAUUAAGAAAGUCUAGAACUAUUUUUGGUUAUCAUUAUCUAGCUUAUCAUAAAUCUUAGAUUCAGAUUAUAGACAACCUAUGCAAUCCAUUAUACAUCUGGAUAUUUUAUAUAAUUCUCCAUAUAUUUACUGUAAGUAGUAAGAUUUUCUCACACUUUAGAAUGCCUGAGCCUUUGGCUGGAGUUAGAAUCACUCGCAUUUCCACUAUUGGAUAUCCAAGAGCUGUCUAGAUGCACGUAAAUAUGUGAACAGAUGCGGAUAAUGGAGAUUGAAGCCUCCAAACAAUGCCUAUAACUGUCAUUUUCAAAAAAUGGGCACAAAUUUUGAUCUUAGUCUUCUAGGGAUGGUUCUAUUUUCAUAGACUAAACAUAAAACAUGGCGAAGGCAGAGAACAAAACUGCUAAGAGAAUGCAGAAGAUUUAAAUGUCACUAAAAUUGAUAUUUCAUUAGAUCUUGAUUUCUUGACUGCUAAAAAUUACUCGUGGUUUUGAGUCCUUGAUAGAGAACUGACAUACUUGCUGAAUUAAUAACCUAAACCAAAACCAAGCAUCAUAGCAGAUUUGGGGAGAGUAGAAAGCACAGCUCUAGAAUCAUGUUGGGACAUGAAUAACUAGAAAGCAUAGGGAUGUAGAGUGAUAUCGAGUUAUGUAGACCCACUUACAUGAAUUGAUUUUAUCAUGGUCUGUCGUACCAUCCCGUACCACCCCAUACCGAGGUGUAUCGACCUAUACCGAGACGGACCGAGGUGCGUACUAUUCCAUACCGAGGCAUACCAAAAUAAAAAUUGAGAAAAAUUGUUAGAGAACUAUUUUGGCACAGAGGUAUAUUGUACCAUACUGAUAAGGUACUGAAACGAUACCCAUACCGAGAUUAUAGACCUUGGAUUUUAUUGAUUUCAUAAGACAUGAUUCAUGGAUCUAAAAUGGAGAGAAAAAAACAACACUACUUGAAAAUGGAAACAUAGCUUAUCUUGACAGAACACUUGCAAUGGACUAUUCUAUGUAGGAGAUCAAGUUGAAGGCAUCAAGAACCAUGUGCAAGAAUGAGAUUCUGUAUCAAGCAUGGCACCCUAGAUAUCUGAGUUUUGGCAAAUUUGGCAUUACCGCUGUUUGCUAUUUGUCUACGGCAACUACAAGUUCCAAAAUAUGCCUAUUUGUUUCCCCAAACUGAAUAAAAAUACAGAUACUAGCCCAUUAAAAUUAGAAAUUGAAAGAAGGUUUAAAGUUACGUCCAUAUGGAACCUGCAAAUAUAUUUUAAAAAGUUAUUGAUAAAAGUUUAUGAUACUAAACAUGAUAACAAAAAGUAAAUCAUGUCAGCAUUAAAAUAACAGGUGUAAGUCCAUGAAACAAACUAAAUUGUACGCUUAAAAUUGGAAGGAAUUUCUUUUAAGAGCUGGAAUUAGAUGAAAAGAAUCGUACUGCUUCAUCACGUGCUUUCCUCAAUUCAUUGAGAGUUUCAAAUGCUUUGUUCCUCUUCUCAUUCACAGCAAUCAACUCCUCCUGAAAGGAAUUUAUUUCAUCAUCAAUGAACUUCAGUUCUUCUUCAAGUUGUCUGAUUUUCGUCCUAACUGCUUGUUUUUCCUUUCUCACUCCAUCAAUGUUACCACCUAGUAACUGCAAGAAUAUAAUCAAAAUCAGCGACAUCACAAGAUUUUAAAGUACAGAAUAAGAUUAGAGGAUUAAAUUAGAUAUCAUGCAGAAAGAAUGUGAACUUACUUUGACCUGGUCUUGAAUAGCUUCCCUCUGACCUAAAGUGUCCUGAAUUUUUGCUUUCAUAGCAGCAUUAGCAAUAACCUUUUCUCUUGUUCCUUCAAGCAGUUUGAUCUCCUUUAUCAACUGCUUCUCCUCAACUAAAGUGAGGCUCUCAUGUUGCAUCCGAUAAUGCAGGCUUUGUAUCUGUUACAUUAGCGUGGAAGAAAGAGACAGGUGCAGUUAGAGCAGGGCAUGGGAAAACUAAAGAAAUAGAACAGCUUGACUCACAAGUUCAUUAAGCUCUCCCUCUGAAGAGCAUAAACCCAUGCCUUUCUCCCUCACAUCAUUAUUUGCAGUACGCAGCUUGCCCAAAGCUUCUUGAAAAGGUUUCAUUUCUUUUCUCUUCUCAUCCAUAAUCAUACGGUAUUGUUUGUCCUCCGCGGUCAAAGGCUUUAAUUGCGAAAUGACUUGUGCUCUCUCAGACUGCAUCAAGAGAAGGGGAAGAAACGAAAAGGCAAAAUAAGGUUUAAUAUCAAAGGGACCACUUUACUGCCUGUUUGAAUUUUUCCUGUCAUGACAUGUUAGCAGUAUAUUGUAAUGAAUAAAGUACUAGUGAAGCUAAUUCACCCAACAAAACUAAAAGAAAACAACAAGGACAAUCAAAUUUGGAGUAGCGUACCCUUUUGGCCUUUAACGCUUCAGUUAUCUGGAAUCGAGCUUGAUUCUUCUUUUGAAUCUCCUUGUCAGCUUGUUCAAUCAUUGCCUUCAGUUUUGGGUCUUCAUAAGAACGGUACUUGACAAAGUAGAAGGUAUGAAUUUGCUUCGGUGCUGGCCACUCAUCUACAGCAUCCUUUGGGAAAUUGACAUUGGCAAGAUGACCUCCCUCUUUGCUCUCUCCAUUCACUCCAUGUGAACCAUUCACUGAUUCAAAUUUGUUCGGUCCAUCGAGUCUCUGUCCCUGAUUAGGUUUUGUCUUGCUAUCCAUUUCAGCAAGAAAUAUAUUGUCUCCUUUAAUUCCUUCCUUGACCUGGCUUGGAGUUAUAUUAGCUCCGUCGGCCUCCAUGCCCAUAAUUUCUAUUAAAGGUUUACAAAAGACCAACAUACAAUAGGCUCAAAUCCUCAUGAAUAUUGGUAGAGCAAUUACAUAGGAUGAAACAAUAAUUUAAACCCAAGCUUUUCUGUAAAUUAACAUAAUAGUGAAUAAAUUUUCAUGUAAAUUUCUGAGAAAGAUGGACCGCCAGGAACCAAGUAGUCAUGCAUUCACAUGCCAAUGCACACAAGCACACCAGAUCACGCACGUAAGACAAAUGCACGGGUGCAUAUACAUUUACAAAUAUGCACAAGCAGAAACACAGGUAUAUAUAACAUACAGAGAUAAGAGAAAUAAACUCUCAGAAGUAGAAUACCAGCAAGUGUAAGAGCAGACAUGUUCAAAACUAGAUCACCACAAAUGGUAAUACUAGAAAUUAUGCAACGCAAGAUUAAGGCCUUGGAUGGAAAAAAAAUCAAAAUUCUUGAGUAUUAUAUUACUUAUCUCUUCUUUAAACAACAUGUCAUGCAAAAGACUCCCCGGCAUUACCUUAUUAAAAAAUAUAUGCAUAAAUGGAAAUUUCCAAUAAGUAAGCUUAAACGAACUGUUUGAGAUACUGUAUCAAGGCAACAACACAGAACUCAACAGUCCUUGGAAAUCUCUUAGGAGGAGAGAGCAAUCGCACUAGAACCUAAAACGGCUUAUCUUUCGACCUAAGGUAUAUGAAACAUAACUACAAGAGUCAAAAACUGCAACUUUUACAAGUUUUCAAGCUUAUGAUUCCAUCCUCACCAUUUUCCAUGUCUAAAUCAUUGUUGAGUAGAUUCCACCUUGUUAUUUCCACGUCACUAUGCCCUUGUUAUCUUCCAACUAAGUGCAUGGUCCAAUAAAGGUCACUGUCAAAAAAGGCAUCUUUAAUGCUUGAUAAUUUAUCUCCACCUGUAAAGAAAAUGGAAUUAUCUUAUUUCAUCACUUUCAAAUGACCACAAACAUGUAAUCCCAUUUAGCCAAGCCAAGCUGGAUAAGAUAUAUUAACCAGAAGCACAACAUGUGGUUAUAAAUCAAAUCAUCUUCCUGUCCUACAAAACCAAGUCAAAGGACCUUUCCUUUCAUAACACAGCAAUUAAACUUUCAAGGAAAUUAGAAUAGAAACAUAUUUGCAAAAUCAUGAUACUGACUCAUCGAUCUCAUACAAUUUAUUGAAUAUUCUCUUCUCAACCAUACAUAUUGAGAUGGCGCCAAUCAGAUGGCAGCAGUCAGGCUUAGUCAUAGCUUGAGCAACAAUGUUGUGUAUAAACAGGCCAGAGCAAUGCACUUGUAGAAGUAGCCUAACUCUCCAACCCACCAAGACCGUACCCUCUCCACUGGGAGACCCUGUGUCCCCUCUCGUAAACAAAAAAGAAAAAGGGGAACUUAACAUCCAGUCGUUUCUUUGACCAGACUUCAACAGGCAGUCCUUUAACCACUAACAUUUAAUGUUUAGUCCUGCACACACUUACACAAGAUUUGCACACGCUUAUACUAGUUCUUGUACAUCAGUACAUAGUUAUAUCGUCCCUGCACACAAUUAUACUAUUCCUGCACACACUUAUAGCUGUGUGCACCAAGUUAUUUGUAACCGUGCAUUUUAGGAUAUAAGUGUAUACAGCCACUAGGGACCAGGUUAAAAAAAUUCUGAAACUUGGGGCAGGUGUUAAAGUCCUAGUCAGUAGGGACUAAAAGUUCCCGUCCAGUUAAUGGAGGGAAGGGCUAUUAAAUACACCAAAAGAAAAAAAGGAGGUGCACUUGGUCCUAGGUUAUCCUGAAAAUUCAUGUCUAGUCAUUAGCUUUACAAAGUCAAUACCCGUGUGAUUUAAUCUCCAAUCUUUGCAAUCUGAUAAUAAAAUAGAUCGCUAAGCCUAACUCUCGUGGCUUACGCACAUGACCUACUAAUACCAAAUUACACCGACCCUAUAUUCAUUUAUUUUACACCAACCUUACCAUUUGCUUGCUUCCCCUCGAACUUAAUGGUUUCUUCUCCAAACUCACUCUCGAGAAAGCCAGAAACCUGUUAGAAAGGAUAUAAAGACCAGCAGUAUCACACCAUUCCAAUGCAAAGCCCACACUGGUACAAAUGUUAGGAUGCCAAAACCAUCCAUAUUAAUACAUACCAGCCAUCCUGAUGCAUAUAGAUUCAUACCGGUGCAUAUCGACGGCACCAUACCAUCCAUACCAGUAGAUACUAAUAGUUUUCAUUCUUUUCAAUGCUGUCAGUUUUAGUAUCUACUACCAUACGGUUUCAAUGGAUAAACAGUCCUAGAUUCGAUGCCAAUAUGUAAAGCCUUGCAUGUAAGGACUAUACUGUCAUCUCAACUUCGAUGUUGGUAUAUACUGUUUUAAAAGGAGGCUACCAUAUGCAAAACCACAACUUAAAUUAGAAGUAAUAGACAAUCAAGGUGGGUGUUGCAUGUAUCUUCAACAGCAAAGAGGUGAAAAGCUUGUCCCAAGCAAAAAGAACAAUCGGUGAGUAUAUAGCCUUUAAGCAAGGGUCAGCCAACGCAAGGACCAUAUGGUACAAAAAGACCAACUAACAGCAUAGAAAUUUUCCUUCACUCCUUUUCUUCCUUUCCAGGACAAGCAUUGUAGGAGAGAGCAGAGUUAUUGAUUCAGCUGUGAAUCAGUUUAAAAUGCAUCAUUUUGAGAUACGAUUAUUCUAAAAAUGUAAAAAUAGCAUGUGGCAAUACCUGUCAAGAGACUCACCGAACCAAAUGGAAGAACUUUCGCAGCUGUCUUCAGUGCGACAGGCCAAAUAUACAUCCAAAACUGUUUGAAAAUACCUAUAAAUCAGUGGAGAAAAUUAAGAAAAGGGAAGUUUGGGCAUGUCGGUGGAGAAGAUAAGUUUAGAGCCUUUGAGGCAUGAAAUGCUAAUCAGGAUCUGGAACGCGUUCAGAAAGGUUGGAAAGUACAACCACACCCGAGAGUGUAAGAUCACAGAAAGAGGAUAAUGGCAUUCCAUGAAAUAUAAAACGUCGCUGGCAGUUGUAAGUUAUUCCAUGGAUUCGAUACCAGUCAUAUAUAAAAAAGGUAUAUGACUGUGAAUCUUAUAUAAAACGGAACCAUGUAUUUUUUUUUCAAACUUCCCAUAAUACAUCUAUCUUUUCUAAUCCUACCUCAAAUGAAUGUGUUCCUCAAACAGCAAAUUUUGAUUUAUGAGCCUGGAUACAGAUUGAGUAAACCAGCGAUUUGGAUAAAUAGAAAGAAAGUAACAUUAAAUUUUUGGGGGAAAAAGAAAUUCAAAUUCUUUUCUUGAUCCAAGUAAAAAAGUAUACCGCUGCAAAUUUCAUAGUCAAGUAACAUGCAAACAUAAAAUUCCUUUUAUUUCUUUUCUUACAUCACUUCCUAAAACAUACAAAAAUUAAUAUAAUUUCUUCUUCGGCGGAGGUGGUGGUGAGCGUGUUAAAAGCACAUAACAUCCAAAUCAGAUGGCCAUUUAGGUGCCUGUAGUUUCCUUAUAUAUCCAUGCCACAGAAUCUAGGUGCACAAAGUGUUCGCUGGCUGCACCUUAGUUUCAAAGAAUAUGAAUCCCACUCAUAGAAAGAAUACACAGAGCAAGGAAAUGUGUACAGAUAAUAUUUAUAUGUGUUCUUGUGCAACAUCUGUAUAGUUGGUCCUUUCCAAACCAAAAGGCCCAUAUCCACCGGCCAAUAAACUCAUUUAUUUAUUCUCAUGAUUCCGAGAAUAAUUCAUCGUGUCAAAACUAGAUUUAUUGGGAAAAAAAUACAGUGGCGAUCAGUCAUCACAUCCAUUAGGAGAUUCUUUUUUAAAAAAAAAAAAUACUUUGCAUGUCAGUCCUGUCUAACAGCUAUAUCUCCUGUACGGAAAUUGCUCCCAAAUGAACUCUCGUCAUAUUGAUUGAAAUACUCGUUUUCUCCCACCCGCGUUUUUACAAUAUUCCAAAUAUACAUGUUUCCUGGAAUCCAAAACAACAAGUCACUUAGAUAAUCUAUUAAAACACGUUCAAGUCUCAAGAACGUUCUUUAGAAGCAUUCCAAAUGAUAAGCCUGCUCUUCCAAGUAUCAGAUAAACCAUAUAAAGAACCCACACCAAUGUAAUGCAUGCACAAAGAAAGACCCAGUUUUUGCACCAUUUCUAUAGGAAACCCUUUCCCCCUUCUCUUUAUCAUCAUCAUCCUCCCAAAACCCUUGAUUUUUCUCUUCCGAGUUAAAGACUAAAUUAACAUAUAAAAUUCCAUGAAAUCUUUAAAAAGAAAUCGAAAAUAGAAAUCAAAACCAUCCGCAAGAAACGAUCAUACCACCAAAGAAUUCCUCCUUAACAAAUAAUAACAAUAAAAAGAUGUUCCAAUAUCCAAAGCGAAGACGCACACAUCUUUAAAAAGAAGAAGCCUCGAUCUACAGAAUAGAUCAAUCCACGCGGAGGCCUCGAUCACCGUCAACCAGGCGGUCCAGGCCCUACAAGGAACCCAAGUAACGAUGCUCCCCAUCCAUGUCGAAGAAAUCCGAAUCCACAACGAUCGCGAACCAAAGAACUCGAGGAAAAGUACAAGAAGCCGCGAUCGAAGGAAAGAGAGAAACAUCAGGGAUCCAUACCUCGGUGGAAGAAGAAUCGGAGGAACCGGCCCUUUCUUCAAUCCGAGAACAGGGAAGGAGAGGCGGAGACGAAGACAGCGGCAGCGAGAUCUUCCGCGCCCUUCUUCGUUCCGAUCGAGCCGGGCUUUAUCCGGAAACGCAGAUACAGAUGGGAUUGAUGUAUAGAUUUUAUUACAUUUUAUUCGUAAUAUAUUUAGUACGAGAGUGUUAGGAUUCGGGCUUCCAGAUGGAAAAGAUCCCGUCCUGGUUCCACUCCACCGGGGGCGGAGAACUGGAGACCGCGCUUUCCGGACUCCGGAUUCCGGUUUCCGGCUUUCCGCUUUCCUUUCCUCGGCCGAGUUGGCCCAAAGGGUGGGGACGUGGCAUUUGGAAGCGGCCUUUUUUUCUUCUACCGCGCUCCAUCACUAGCCACGUGGGCUGGAAAUGGGCCGAUCUUGGGACUAGAAAAGCCCAGUUUUUCAAGAUCCAUUUUUAGUCAUGAUGGUUGGGUGCUCGGAGAAGUAGAUCCCUGAAGUAUUUUUUUUUUAUUAUUGAGAUUAUGAUAAUUGUUAUAAUUUUUAAUUUGGAUCUAGUAGCCGUAGGUACGAGGGAGCAAGGUGCGUCCAACUAUCUCAUGGAAUAUAAAUGUGAAUGUUUCACAAAUAUUUUACAUUAAAUAAUCAUAUGAUCCGCCGAGCAUUGGAUGCAACCCAUCUCUUUGUUUAUGGGGUAGAAAUAUAACACCAUCUGAUAAUACUUUCAUGAAAUGAAGAUGAUGAAAAAUAUUUGAAUAUCAAUACAUACACAUGAUGCAAUGCUUAAUAGUAGGUAGUAGAUACAAACAACUAUAUCAUGUAUUUUCAACCACUCCCUCGAUUUGUACCCAAAAAAAAAGUGCUCCCUUGAUUAUAUUAACUCUUAGAUCAACGCAUGUUGGAUGGCAUUAGGAUUGACAAUGGCAACCUCAAAAUAUAUGCUAACAUGAAGACCAGGAUAUGCAAACCAAGUGCACGCAAUACUUAUGACAUAGGUAAAGUUAAAUCUUUUUUUUUUGUUUGCAUACGUACUGAUAAAAUAUAUAAUUUUUGGUUCCCAGAUAUUCUAGUAACAUAAAUUAUGAUCAAAGUUUUAAAUUUUUGAUUUGGUUUUCUAAAUCUUAAUCUGGAAUUGAGAAAAAUAGGUAUACUCUCUCGAGAGGAACAAAAUCUAUAUAAUUCUGAUACUUUUUGUCAAUCAUAUAUUGCUUGCUAGUGGCGAUUUAAGGUUCCUGACAUAAAACUAAAAAUUUCUUCAUGGAAAUUUUGAGAUGAAGGAUAUUGGUAAAUCUUCAUUUGUCUUGGGCAUAAAGAUCAUAACGAUAGAUCGUGACAAAGCACAAUAUUAUUUAGCACUUUUGCGGUGUGCAUAUAUUGAUAGCUGAGGUUUUGAAAGGAUUCCAGAAUUGUUUUCCUAGUGAAAUACCUAUGAGAAAAAAAGGUGAUAAACUUAGUAUAUUACAAUGGCCAAGAUAUUGGUAAGGUUGCUGCCGGACCUCAUGCGGUCUAGCAAUAGUAUAUUUAGUUUAUAAAGCUUGGGUUGUCUGGCCAAUCACCAAAUGAUGCAAAUAGGGGCAGGCAUAGGGACAAAUGGUCAUAAUAAUAAAGGCCAUAACCUUGGUUGGUCAUGCAGGAAUUAUAAACAUACAUAAAUUUGAAGUCAUAUAAUGUUUGGGAUUCGUGCAGAGGAGUCUACAAAUAUGGGUUCACAAUUGCAAAACCCUCAAAUUACACACAUCCAGUUUGUAAUUGGAGAGAAGAGAAGAAUACUUCGUUGAGAGGAUAAAUUAGCACCAAGUGGAUGAAUUAUCGGUACUGAAAGGCACGCCAUUGAUCUCGGCUCUUGUCCCUCGAACUUCCAUAAAAAACCCUGGCAUUGCAUGUUUGCUUUAAUCAUCACUUAGACACAUGCAUGUGCGUAAAUCUGAUUCGAAUUUGUUGUUGGGGAAUGCAUUCCAACGUAAAUUUAUAAAAGCACCAUGGACUAUUCGUAAUUUGCUUUGUUUUGUUUUGUUUUUUGUGAUGCAGCACAAUUACACUGCUUUUUUGUAAAUACAUGGCUGAGUUAGUGCAACCUAAGCCACUGGGGUCCGAACCAUUACUGUUUCGCUUCCGUAGGCAACCAAAUCGAGCUAGGCCUUGUUCAUGGAUAGUCAAGGUUUAGAUCAAAGUUCAGUAAAUUCAUGUUUGGUUUGCGUGAAACCUAGCCCAGCUUAGGGUUCGGGUUAUAUGAAUAAUUGAUGUUUUUUUUUCCGAUAUUGAUAAUUAGAUCGCAUUUCACACAAAUCUCCAAGCACUCUAAACUGUUUAUUCAUAUACGAUCCAACCGUAAAUUCAUGCGGACAAAGAAAUUUUUUUUUCCUUAUGAAAGAUGCAUCUAAUGCAUCUCUCGCUCUCAGCCUAAGGUACAACAUUUUAGUUGGAGCAGAUUCACCGAGGCUAGACCUAGUCCAACUAAUAACCUAGCAGCACCCGCUCCAUCGCUGAAAACCAGCACCCAUCACCUAUUUAUGUUUUUUUAAUUCAAUAACUAAACGACAAGAGACGUGCUGGUCGGUGAUUCGACACGAAUUGCUAUUGAGCUCACAACAGCGAACAAAACAAUUACCAUAAUCACAUCCGUCCAUGCAUAGGAGAUCACGAGAUCAGACGGUCAUGAAUAUGAUGGACGUCAAGUCCGUUGUUCGAUCCCGACAGCAGACCAAUCCGGCAGCAUGGAAGCUAGCGAGUCAGCAUGCGCGGCUUCAAAUUCUCCCCCGCGGCCCAAACAAAAGUCAAAUCUAAGGUCCCCCCCGUACGACAGAUCCGGUUCAGUGAACCAAUCCAAUUGCCGAACCAUGUGGUGGAGAACGGCACCCUUCAUUUAACCUUGGAUUGUUUAAAUACAAGAUGUUGAUGCGGCGAGUGACUAUUGGACUGGUCCGCUGGACCUGGUCCAUUUUAUUAGUAGACAUCCCAUGCCAGCUGGUUCCAAAACCACGUAAACGUUUCUUGCCCCCGGUAAAUACGAAAGGCCGGUCUUUUCAUGACGUAGCAAGACUGACCCUCCUUGUCUCCCUUGGCUCUACUUUAUCCCUCGCCCUUUCAGUUCUAUAAAGAGAUGGAGCCCCAAAGUAACAGCAACGAUUUGUAGAGCUGCCUGGAAGCUACCACUGCAAAUGGAGAGGUCCCAUGGCUUCACGAGGCCGGAUCGGAAGACCAUCGAGAGGAAUAGAAGGAUCCAAAUGAAGGCUCUCUGCUCCCAGCUCGACUCCCUGCUCCCCAACCCACCCACCUCAAGGGUGCGUUAAUUCUAUACAGGGAAUGAACACUAGUCAUUGUCAAAAAGAACGGAGAAAGCGAACAAAAUGUUUCUCCUUCUUCUUUCCUCGUAACCCUUUCACUUGUUUUGGCAGGAGGGAGCGACGCUGCCGCUACCAGACCGACUAGAAGAAGCGGCGAAUUAUAUAAAAAGUCUGCAGAGGAGGCUGGAGAGGAUGAAGGAGAGGAAGAGGAAGCUGAUGGAGUCCGAGGGGACCAGCCGAGGUACGGGAAGUGUGGAGAGAGGUGGGAUGAGGUUGCCUCAGAUAGAGGUCCAAGACCUGGGUUCUGGGUUAAGAGUUGUUAUAACAAAUAGCCCAGGGGAUCGGCGCAUGUUCUACGAGGCGGUUCGAGUCAUGGAGGAGGAAGGGGGAGAGAUCCUGAAUGCCAACUUCUUGGUGGUCGGCGACAAGGCUUUCCACUCCAUACACUCCAUGGUGACUUAUAAUAUAUAUAUAAUAUAUACACACACACACACACAUACACAUACAUACUUGCAAUCACUAGUUGCUAGAAAGGGUUACUUAUCGAACACCUACUUUCUUCUUUUAAGUUGGAAGUGUUAAUGGUGCAGGUUGCGGAUCCUAGGGGUGGUUCUGAGGCUAGCAAGGUGUUGGAGAGACUGAAGAAAGCAUGUCAUCAGUGAUGGUGAUGUUGGUAGCCUGUGUGUAUGAAAAAGGGGUUUGUUUGUAUGUUUUAGGACAGGCCGAAAAAUGAAUAGUGGAAACUGUUGAUGUUUCACAAGUUCAGAUAGUUUGCUGUCGAAGAAAGUGGGUCUUGCUGCUUCUGUUGUUUUUAUCUCAAGUAUCAAAUCAGCCUCAAUAGAUAUAACUACUGUUGCCGGACUCUUCUCCUCUUGCCUUAAGACUCUUCAGGGGGCUGCCCUGUGGGGUUGCAGUCUCUCUGAGCUAUCUUCUAUGGCUCUUCUUUUUCCAUCCAAAUAAAAGCCGGGUGGUCUAACCUCCCUUCUACUCAAGAGACAGGGGCCACAAUUUUUCUAUGGGCAUUUAUUUUCGGUUUGAGUCACGUUUCCCUAUGUGUGGUAUGAAAUGGAUGCCAAGGAUAACUUGAUUGAGAAUUGCUGUGGGUCCUAGCUAUAAUUCGGUAGCACAAGGGGUUGCUACGAUAGGAGAAACAACCCCCACCUUAUGGAACAAAGCCUGAUUGCUUAACCGCCAUAUGAAUCCUAAUGACAUGGGGAUCCAUUACGCUUUAGCAAGCUUGCAUGUUUUGACGAAUUCUCCUUAGAAGUGAUGGCAAAAGUUUGACGUUUUCACCUUAGAAGUGAUGGCACAAGUCUGUUUCUGACCGUAAGCUGUUUUUUUUUUCAUCAUAUUUUCUUUAAUGCUCUUUCACGCAGAAGAAAGUACUUGCAGUUCUUUUCUUAUUUAUGUUAAACGCAUUGCUACUUUUUUUGGGACAUUCUUUUUGUUUCUUGAUCGCCCUCAAAUGUGAACUGGAUUUAUUAGACUUUUCCAAUAAAAAAUUGAUACAAGAUUGCCAAAUAGGUGGCAUGCAGAGUUUCCAUGUAGGUUUGCCACCAACAAAGCCUCACGUUAUUUCCAUUAUGAUGGUAGAAAUUUCCUGCAUGAAUCAAAAGGGAUGUAGCUUGUAGAUUUCAUCGCAAAAAAUAGACAUAUCAAACAAUGAAAUAUGGGAAGAAUAAAUGACUCUUUACAUCCAAUUUAAUACCUGCGCCAACGAUCGAGCCACUUCUACCGAUGCCUGUCAAGGUCCUUAACGAAACUCUUUCUACGUAGUUCCAUAUAUAUUUCUAUAUAAGCUAUAAAUGAAGCCGCAACAGUAAACAGUGGCAGAAUUAUAUAUAAAUAUAGAGAAAUACAUAUAUAGAAGUGUGUGUGUACAAUAUUUCUAUAUGGUACUGUUCGUCUAAAAGGUGUUUUUUGUGGCUUUUGUUACUAGAAGUGCUAUUAGUACUUUAUUAGCUAUAGGUGGUGUCAGAAUUUUUGAUACUAUAGUUUCAAUGGCCGAACUAUGUACUACAUAAAAGUUGAGGAUCUCCUACAUUUAUUUGGAAGGUUAUGAUCAAAUAGCUUUCGGAUCCUCCAUUCUCUGUUGCCGGACCACAUCCCCUUUUGUAAGAUUGUUGGCGAAUGAUGCAUACUUUGUUUGUAGUUGAGGUUUCUCAUAUUUAUAGAAAGGCUAAUAAGGUAGUUGAUUGGAUGGUUGCUUAUAUAGCUAAUCAUAUUAGGGCCAUUCUAUGGGAUUCUACAUGAAAUCUUCUAGCUCAAAUUUUAAAUAUAUUUAUUUUUCCAAUUUAUACUGAUGUAUUUAUUCUAGAUUGAUUUAAAUCAACCAUUUUACCAAAAAAUGCAGUAGAUGAAUGUAUGAUAAGAGAGAGCCUUCCUACAAGGUCUUGAUCAAGUCUCAUCACCGCAUAUUGAAGAAACCAAUUGGUAGAAGCCAAGUUAGGAAAUUAUCACACUUGAAAAUUCAUUUUGAUUUCGAGCUUAUCUUAUCUACAUCCAUGUGAAUUUUACUUGCAUGAUUUUAUAAAUAGAUCUUUUGGACUAAGUUUUUAACUCCCCAUCAAUUAUUAAUUAGGAGAAAUUAUAUCCUACACCAGAUGCAUCAUAUCAAUGGUGGAUGGAGUAGCUGAAGGUACGAGAGGGAGAGGUCUUAAAUGUUUCGCUCUCUCCCUCCCGCCUUUGUGGCUGAAUGAGGGGAAAGGGCAAAAAAAAAAAAAAAAGGAGGAAACGAAGAAAAAGGGUAGGGGAGGUGGGGAGAAAGUGAGGGUAGCUUAAGCAAAAAAAAAAGGUGAGGGUAGAAUGGUGUGUGUGGGGAAGAAGAGUGAUCAGAAGAAAAAAAAAAAUUGCAAACUCUCAGCCGCCUGCCCUUUGGCUUCCAAGUCAAAAAGGUGAAAUGGACGUGCCCUUGAUUUCAGUGCGGCAUGGGAAAAUAAAUCUUUUUUACCAUAGUUUUUUAGCCCAUUAAAAAUAAUUCAUAAAUUAAAUAGAAAUAAAUUUUUUCCUACUAACAUAAUUCAUCGAUUCCAUAACGUAAAAAUAUAUAAUAAAAAAAUUACGUGCCAAUAGGCACCAUGCGCGAAGAAAAACCAUCGCAUCCUUUUUUUUUUGGCCAAGUAAUAUAAAUUCAUCUGCUUCUUGAUAUAUACUGUAAGAUUUUUUUACGUACUUAUUGAUAAAUCGAUGUAUAGUUUCUAAAAUAUGAUGUUCAUCAGAACGUAGUUUAUGCCUAGUCAAUACACACCUAAUAAUAUAGUCAUCCAAUAUCCCAAUAUACACAUCCAGAUAAAUCGAUUUGCAGUUCAAAAUAUGAUGCUCAUCAAUAUGCAUUAUAUGGCCAAAUGAUACAUACUUGUCAGCUUCCUAAUACAUAAAUAUAUACUGUAAGCUUUGCUAAUACACACCCAAUACAUACCUUUAGAAAAAUUGAUAUAUAAUUUUUAGAACAUAGUAUUUAUGAGUAUACAUUGCACGGUCAGAUGAUACACACCUUGCAAAAUAGUCAUCUAGCAUUCCAAUAUACACUUUUAGGUAAAUUAAUACAUAGUUUUUAGAAGGACUAGAUAAAGGGACUCAAGAGGAGAAGGAAGCCCUCACGGAUGGGAGAGAUAGCUUGAUAAGAAAAAGGAUAGAAGGAAAGGCUUGACGAGAAAGAAAAAUAAUGCAGAUAGUCUCUUUUGGCGUGUGCAAUUUUUUUUUUAAAAGUUAGAGGAAUGAUGGACUCUAUUAGUAAGAAUCCUUUUAUCCCUAUUUAACUUUUGAAUUUUCUCUUUAAGAUAGAUGCAAGAGGAGAAAACAUAUCAAAAAAGGAGCCCCACCCCAUAUUUCCUUUUAUGGUGCCCACCCUAUAUGAUUUUUGUUCAGUCAUAUGCAAUGUAACCUCAUUUCAGUUUUCAGACCCUCCUAUGUACACCCACCAUCAAAUCCAAAAUAAUCAUGUUCGAGGUAAAAACAAAUGAUUGGACUGACUCAAAACCAUCAAUCAGACUAUCAAAAAACAAAAAUCAUAUGGGGCAUUAUAGAACAUCAUAUGGAGUAGGAUUCCUAUUUUAUUAUAUAUUUUUUUAGUGUUCAUCUUAAAAAAGAAAACCUAAAAAUUAAAUGAUUUUUUUUUACAUGAAUACCCUCCUAAAUAUCAAAUUUUGCAUGAAUACUCUCUCAAAAUUGAUAUUCAUAUGUAUGCCUUCUUAAAAUACUUAUUAUGCUAUUCUAUCUUUUUUUAUCUUUAUUUUUGUAUAUGUACCCACACCAUGUAACGCCGUUAAAAAAUUAAUAGUUUUAAAUUAAAAUGACUAAAAUACCUUUAAUAGGUAGAAGUGCAAAAAGAACCAUUAAGGCGAUCGCGAUAGGGGACAAAAAAGUAAUUUCAAGAUGCUAUUUUAUUUUUAAAUGAAUAUGAUUUUUAUUAACGGCGUUAGAAGAAUCGUUAUAUUAGAGCAUUUGUGCAAAACCAGUGUUUUAUGAGAGUACAGAAAUAAUUUAAAUUUUAAGAGGGUAUUCACAAAAAUUUGAAUUUUUAGAAGGGUAUUUAUACAAAAAAAUCCAAAUUAAAUAGGAACAAAACUCUUUCUACUAAUGAAGUUCGUCGAUUCCAUAAAUUCAAAAAUAAAUAAAAAAAUUACACAUGCUAAGAAAGAUCAUCCAUGAAGAGGGAUCGUCCAUAUAUUUUUUUGUUCUCGUCAAGCCUCUCUAUUUAUCAUCUUUCUUAUCAUGCCAUCUAUCUUAUCUAUGAGAUCUUUCUUUUUUCUUUCGAGUGCUUUUUUUUUGUUAAAGCAGAUGCAUCAUACAUGACGAGUACGAAUAUANNNNNNNNNNNNNNNNNNNNNNNNNNNNNNNNNNNNNNNNNNNNNNNNNNNNNNNNNNAACAAUUUCUAAAGCGCUUCGGGUAAGUCUUCUUCGCCCAGCCAAAGGAUCUCCCUAGAACUUCUGAGUCCUUUUCACCACCUCCAAAUCCUUCUCUAUUUUUUAUAGAUUUAGAAUCUAAGAAAUGAUAUAUAUAUAUAUAUAUAUCAUUUUGUAUGUUAGAUAAAAUUAAAAAACUGAGUACUGAUACUAAUAAAUACUAUGUUUUGAAAACUAUAUAUCGAUUUAUCUAAAAGUGUGUAUUGGCUUGCUGGAUAAGUACUUUAUUUUAUGCAUAUUGGCUUGCUAGAUGAGUAUUUUAUUUGAUGUGAAUAUCAUGUCCUAUAAAUUGUAUAUUGAUAUAUCUAGAUAUGUGCAUUAACUUACUAAAUGACUAAUUUAUUUUGUAUGUAUUACUUGAAUAUAUACUAUGUAUCGAUAAAAAGUAUAUUUUAAAAAUAAAAAGAAAAAAAUAUUAUGUGUUUUUUUAUCUUUUGUAAUCAUGGGAUUGAAGUUUUUGUUUGUGAAAGUUUAGUUAUUAGAGAAAAUGUUAUAAAAUAUAAUUUUUUUGUGAACAACAGGGUUAUCUGGACGACGACACUCCUUCUCCUGACAAGGUGCCACUCGGUGCCUGAUGGGUCAGAGAUUCGCGAGUUUUAUGGCAUUGGAUGGAUGAGGGGACCGGAUCAUGGGAAUUCAUGGCCAUAGUCUCUUUUCAUGAGAGAAUUAAUGAUCACAGCCAAGGUUGGAUUUAAUGCUCUCCAAAAAUAGCGAAGGAGAAUCCGCCACGCAUUUGAUGGCCUCGUAGGUCUCCCUACUAGGGGGACCACUCAUCCUCAAGGCUCGAGUCUCGAUGAACGAGUCAACGACAUGUAAUGCUGUACGAAGACAGUGGGUGUACGUAGAGGGUCUCAUAGCAGGGUUCCGACUGUAUCUUUUGCAAAAAAAGAAUGAUUUAUUUUUUUUUCCCACAAAAUCAACUGCUGGAAUGGACAAUAACCGUCUCAGAAUCUAUGCAGACGUUGGAAAAAAAUUUAAAAUAUUUUAAAAUCUACGCAAGGCAACAGAUUGCAAUUAAAAAUAAAUAAAUGAUCUUCUUUCGUGCCAAACAUGCAAAGUGAACCCUCACGGCAGCGCAAAUACGUGGAUUUGAGUUGCAUAUUUGGCAUGAAAGAAUAAUUAAUCUUAUAUUAAUAUAGACCGUUGGAUCGCAUUUUGUAUAGAUUUCAAAAAAUUCUGAACUUUUUUAUCCGUCCAUUUAUAUGGAUUCCAAAGAUGGCUAUAUAUUGCGCAAUCCAACCAUAGAUUCUCACUAAAAUGAAUUCUUCAACCGCGUGAAAGAUGCAGUCCUUAUCCUAUGUGGAAAGAGAAGAACAAGAGUAGUCAUCCAACAACUUGUUACUGUCACAACUUAGGUCCUUACUUAAAAUGGCUAGCCCUUAAAUCUAAUCACAAGCACAAUAAUUAGCUCAUAGUCAGCCCCAAUGGAUCCAUGCUGCAACGUCCCUUAGUCCACAUAGGUUAUGAGUCGAGUCCGUUCUGAUACCAUUUAUCACAACUCAUAACUUCAUCUAAAAUGUCUAGCUGGAAUAUAUUAUUUGGAUUCCUCGAUUCUAUAUAAGUACCCAAGAUCUAUCCAACGAAUAAUUAAUGUAGGACUAAACACACGCCGCAUGGGUUCUCACAGUUACCAUUUCUCAAACUCUGAUUGUCGGAUAAGUUAGAGGAAUGGCUGAGACCCUCUUCGGAUUCUCAGGUAUUCUUAAUUAUUUUCAGCAAAAACAAUUAUUGCAUUUAAAAAUUGAGAAAAAUGGUUAUUUUGAAAUAUAAUUAUUACGAGGGGAGCAGACAUUAGAAUUUCAGCGAGUGUGAAGGAGACAAGGAUGGGUAAGAAUCCGCUUCUUGCUAUGGGGCUAAUCUUAAAAAUCAUGAUGGUGAAUCCGAACAAUGAGAUUGUAGUUGAAGCAUUUUAAAUAGAAUGACCCGCACAAGUGAUGUUAUUAUCUCGCACAAGCAAGCAAGGGGGAAUGGCGAUUCUAAUCGAUAUAACUGGCACAGGAAAAGGCAAAAGUAUUAGAAGUUUUGGGCUCUCCUGCAAGAUAAAAACAAAAAAAAUCUGCUAUCAUUGAACUGUACUGAUGUAUGCUUGGGUGACUACAACGCCUUGAUGACGCCAGUAGAAGACAGAUGGGAACAUAUCAACUUGGCAAAAAUAACAUAAUGGCUGAUGUACAAAGAAGGGUCCGAAGCGGCCAGGUUAGGUUUACUCGAGGCCGAGCUGGGCCCAAAAGAAGUCGUGGGCUUCAGGUUGGGCCCAUGCCCCAAAAUUUUUCCGACAACGAGCAUGAGCACUUAUAAAUUUUUAAUAAAAAUAAAUAAACAAUAUUAACAUGCUAUUACUUUGAUUUAUCACCUGCUUAGUAAUAUCUUUGAUUUUAUGGUCAUAAAGUUUAAUUAUCUAAUUUAUAAACAUAUUUAUAUCUAUACUUUUAGUAUUUGAUUUGUAUGUACCGUAUAAAACAAAUAUGGUCAUAAAUUUUUGCAUCCGAUUAAUAUUUGUAUCUACAUCUGUGUUCAUCAAACAAAUAAAUAUGAAUAUAGGUAUAUUAGUAUAUCUGAUACCCAGGACCUCAUACUUAGCGAAUAACCGAUGUAGGACUAAAUCGUUUCAGCCCUAGCAUUUUCAUCAGGCUAAGAGUUCAAAUCUAUUCAAAUGUAAUCACAAGCAUCAUGAUCGUCCCGUAGUCAGCUCCAAUACAUUCGUGCUAUAGUAUCUCCUCGUGCAAAUAGAUUAUGGGGCAGGUUCGCUCUAAUUAAUACCAUAUGUAACAAUCCAAAAAUUCAUCUGAAAAUAUUAUUUAAAAUUUUUAAUUUUAUAUAAAUAUUUAAGAUUGAUUUAGCAAAUAAUUAAUAUAAAAUUAAUGGUCGCACCAGCUAACCAAGGGCUCGUGCCAAGUGGCUCAACUGGCGUUCGGCUCUCCAAUCCUUGGCAAAGCGGCUUUCAACUGUGUACAGCCUGUGACAGCUUAUUGCAGGAAAAAAGCUGGUUACGACAGUGUUCGCUUUCAUGUUCCGGCAAUGGCCAGGACAUGAGAUGUUGAUCGCACCCACGUUGCUGAACCACCACAAUAAUGGCACGACACUGUAGAGUCGAAUGCUGGGAUUCGGCAGAAGAUAUUCUGCAGAAGAUGGCAGUGGUCGCAAUCCACUGUGUCUACGACCAUUCAUGGCCAACUUUAAUUAAGAGACAUAUAGAUAGAUUCCGUUAGCUUGGUAGGUUAGGUUAUAAUCAUGAGUGAUGCUCAAAGGGCGUAUAUUUAACUAGAAAACAUUUCUAUUUACUGAAGAGUUAUUUAAGAUCAAAUUAUUUGUACACCAAAACCGAAGGAAUUGUUCUGUGGCUGUUUUCUAAUGGUUGUGGCCUCACAAGGCCCUCCUUGCAAGGUUAAUAUUCAUUGAAAUCAAACGUUAAUUGACUACACCUUGGAGAGCCAAGGUUAAUUUAGCUUCUUCUUUUUUUUUUUUGAGUUGAAAUGGAGGAAGCAAGUCACUUCCUCCGAAAAAUUUUAUAGUUUAUCUUAAAAUUACUCCUGUUUUGCUUGGAUCUGAGAAUAGUAAAAGAAAAGCUCUGAGAGGAAGUUGAUCUUAUCCCUGGUGCCACAUGAAGAAAAGACUUGCCCGACUUCAAAUCUUGUCAACUGGACUUCCAUCUCAAGUCAUGCUCACUUUUCAUAUGUUAAUAUUAUCCACACACAUUUCUUUCCAUUUUUUAAAAUGGUUAUAGAAUCUUAUAUAAAUGUAGGCAUUUUCUUCUUCGGUCCCACACAGAUUUAUUUGUCUCAGGAGAAAGAAUAUAUAAUCAAUUCAUAAUAUAAACUCGCCAUUUAAGGCAAAAGAACGGCUGCAACCGAGAGCCAUUACAAAUAGCUGGGAUAAACUACCUCUUUGUCACCUAACCUGGCCCAGUCGCUCGAGUCCUCUCUCCCCUCACCACACUUUCCUCACUUUUCUUGACUGCUUCUCAGACUUUUUCUGGGACAUGAUUUCAUCUGGCUAAUGAGAUCAGGAUGAGCUUGUAGAACGGCAUGCUAGUAGGACAAGCAAUGGAGUUCCAAUAAAGCUUUCGUCUUCCUCUUCGUUGAGGAAAAUAGAAAGCUCGCCGUCUCUUUUAACAAUUAUAAAAUCUUCAUCUCCUUGAAGUAUCACAUGCAUCAAACACACGUGAAAUGGUAUCACAGCCACUCAAAGAAUAAUGUGCAAUGGUAUAGACACGAUCAAUUUCUUCUACCAAUUAGCUCUCUUGAGGCGUCACCAACCAACCCGGUGGAAAAAAGAAAAAAAAACAGGUGGAGAAGAAAAAGGAAGGAAAACUCCAAAACAAUGCGGAUGCAUUGAUACCAGUCUUACCACUAGCCAUCGACCACAUGCCCUGUGGCUGCCAGUAUUAAUACUUCUCUCACCAACCAAACUUUUUCCUCGAUAACUAUAAUUCGACUCCUCUUGUGUGAUUUACCAAGUCACCGAGUCCAAAAGCUUCUUUCUUUCCUUCCCACCGUGCUUGCUCUCUGAAACUAUUUAAGUUAGGCUUGCAUCCUCUGAUGCCAUAGGCUACCAGCGUAUCCAAGAGUAAAGGAGAAGAAGAAUGUUGGUGGUUGAAGGAGGAGAGGGAGAGGAGGCAGCUUACAACGAGCCGGUAAGCCCGACCGGCCAAUACUUCAAUAGCUCGGCGCUGUCCAUCUGCAUCCUGGUGGUUUUCGAGUCCGAUGUUCCUAUCGAUGACUCCCCGACCAUGUCGACACUGGAGAAUCUGUUCUUGCCGAUCAACCCACGUUUCUCCUCCAUCAUGGUACCUUCUCUGCUCUCUACCUUCUCUGAUUCCAGGGCUGUUUUAAUCUCUUCCAAGUCAUGUAUACGCGGCCAGUCAACUUGGCUAGCAUCCAGUCCUCCAUUGUUGACUAAUUUUCCAAGCAUAGAAGCUUGCUUUGCCGAGUUGGAUCCCGUAGAUCAUCUUGGUUAAAGCAUUCUAAAAUUGGUAUACAUGCAGUGUUUAAGUCCAAGCAGAUGGCUUGGCCAAAGCCCACAAAUAGCCACCAACAAGAUCUGUCCCUGUAAUCGCUAGGGUUGGCUGCCAGCAUUGACAUUUGCUAGUUUGUGUUUUCGUGGCUACUUUGAACUAGGUGAAAGAUGAGAACGGGGUUCAACAGUGGAAGAGGGUCAAGGUCAAGCUGGGAGACCAUGUAAACGUUCCCACCUUCCCCACUGGCUUGGAAUCAUAUGACCAAUGCGUGCAAGAUUACCUCUCACAGAUAGCACUGGAGAAGCUGCCGCAAAGCCGGCCACUGUGGGACCUCCACAUCAUCAAGUAUCCGACAAGCAAUGCCGAGGGCACGAUGGUGUUCAAGCUUCACCACGCACUGGGAGACGGCUUCUCCCUCAUGGGAGCACUCUUCUCUUGCUUGCACAGGGCCGACGACCCUUCCCUCCCUCUCACCUUUCCCACUCCUCGAGAUAAAGCGAUGAAAAAGAGCUUAUGGGGGAGCAUUUGUGGCGUAGUGCCUCGAGUUCUCUCCGUGUGUGCCAAUACCAUCCGAGACGUAGGGUGGAGUCUUUGGAAGAGCACUCUGGCAGAGGACGACACAACUCCGCUCAGAUCCGGCACUCCAGGGCUGGAGUUUCGGCCGAUCACCAUUUCUUGCGUCGAGUUCUCUCUUGAUGACAUAAGAAAGAUCAAGGCCGCAGUCGGAGGGGUAAGCUUGUGCUUUUAAAUCUUGGAAAAUACUCGAAUAACUCUAAAAAAAGUCACUCAGCUGCCGUCGUGAAUCUUUGGCGCAAGGAACCUGAGUGGCUUUUUCAAGACCGCCCCGAAAUCUUUGUAUCCUUCCAUUUCUGUGCCCCGGGGGACCGGGAUUCAGCAACAGGUCGGGGUUGUUUCUUUCGCGCGAGGCCACCGUUGGAUCGUCCGCUAGUCGCUUUGAGAUGUAUGCAGGUGGGUGGGUGAAUGCGGUAGUUCGAAGUGCUUUGAGAUUUGUAUAGUGGGUGAUCCAAAGGUGGAUUUGUGCGAAAGAACAAACGACCCGUACCUGCAGCAAUAGUUCACGUCGUGGUUUUUUGUUGUGCAUCGUUGCCCUCGUUAAGUGGCACCCAUCUCCCCUCCCUCCCCUUUUUUUUUAUAUAUAUAUAUAUUAUAAUAAUAAGUGCAUGUUUGGAUAAUCUAGUUAAAUUAGACUGAUUCGGCUAUUUAAAUAUUGCCCUAUCAGACAAACACCGCUCAAGCCAAAUCCUAUGAAAAGUAUAAAAAGAUUUAUAUAAAAUAUUUUUUCUUCCUAUAGAUAAAAGCCUAGAAUUUAAACUAGGAUUUGGAUAGGCCUUUGGAAGAUGGAAAUAGAUGGGGCCAAUAAGCCCAAUUUUUACAGAAUUUUCAGGAUGAUUCUAUAGAAAUAUUCAAAUAGAUUCUUAAUUUGUGCAUAUAAGAAAAAUGCUAAAAUCAUCCGUUUCAUAUAAAAAUAGGCAAUUGAUUAGAUAAUAUGCAGGGCCUAACUAGCACCACCGAACUUGGCCAUAUAUCUCAUCAAUCUCCAACUGUCUGAUCAGCUCGAUGAACUAAAUGGUGAUCUAUAGAAGUACUUGAUGUAUAUAGCUAAUAAACUACAAAGAAAUUGGAUAUAUAUGCUCCUUUGACCAGAACCCAUCGAAGAAAGCCCUUCCAAAAAUAGCAAUAAUAAAAAUAGUUAUAAUAACAACAACAAUAAUAAAAAUAAUGUGAUAUAGGCUUUCAAGGUGGCUUAUCACAAGAGAAGAUAUAUAGUAUCUAUUUUUUGCUAUUUUGAUCAUUAUUUUUACUAUUAAAAAUACAUAAAACUCAAAUAUCAAAUAUUUUAAGGAUCUCUAACCUAUACAUACAUGGACAUAAAUAUGGGCAAUUUUAUUAUCCUAGUGUACUAAUAUGUAUAUAUGAUAAAGCAUUUAAGUUCAGAAUUCGUUUUAUUGGUUAUGAUCUACAUAUUAAAACAUAUAUAAAUUGAAACUGGAUAUUUUUUAAUGCUCAGAUUAUGGCAAAAUUUGGUCUGGUAUCAAUUUAAUUGUUCAAUUUGUACCCUCCUGAUCCAACGUUAGAAAUCAUCAACGUAUAUGAGUUUUAGUUUAUAAAAUUUUUUGAUGGUAUAGAUCAUAUUCAAUGGCAUUGAUCGUUAAUUUAAAUACUAUAUUCUUGAUUUUGAACUUGAGAGUAGUUAGCCUCUUCCAUUGGAGGAGUAGAAUCUAUCUCUUUAUAUGCAUUUUUGUUUUGUUUGUCCAUCUAUAUUGUCUUUUUUUUUGGAGCAAUUAAAAUGGUGAAAAAUAAUACCAUGCUUUCAAAGAUAAAACAAAUACAGAGAUAAAACUAAAAGAUAAAAAAUAAAAUAAAAUGAAAGAUAGGAGUAUCAAAACCACCCAACAAGAAGCAACAUCAAGAACCUCAGUCCAAUCCCUAUAUAAAGCAAAUCUAAACCAAGCUGAAAAGCCCAACCAGUCCAAUAUCUAAAUAUUGUCACCUUCUGUCUAUUAUUGUUUACUCAACAGUUUGGGUGGAGUUGAAGUAUCACAAGGUGUGAAAAUUACAAAUUGUAACAUGCAAUUAGCUUAAUUUUGUAUGCAUAAAAAAUUAAAAUUUUAAGAAAAAUAAAUGUGCAAAGGCAGCUUGAACUUUGUUAUUAUUAAUAUCAAGCUUGUUAUAACAUAUUCUCUUCUGCAUUCGUUAGCUUGAUAUCUAAUAUACGGUUUUCCUAUGGAUUUUUAGCAGACUGUGAAUGAUGUGAUCAGUGGAAUAAUAUUUUAUGGGACCAAGCUGUACAUGCAAAGGGUGGGUGAGGGUCAACGCAGGAGAGCUGCCCGAGUGACGGCCAUGGUGUUGCUGAACACUCGAAUCGUUUCCCGCUACGAGACCGUAGAAAAGAUGACAAAAACCAAUGCCAAGUCCCCAUGGGGGAACCAGUUUGGUUUCCUCCAUGUCUCCAUUCCAACGAGUAAGAACGCCGAGAAGGCCGACCCCCUCUACUUUAUCCGGAAAGCAAGGAAGAUCAUCAAGGCAAAACGAAGCUCGUUUGCUGUCUAUCUCACCGGCAGAUUGCUUGAGAUGCUGAGAAAACUCAAAGGCCCAGAGGUAUGACUUGACAUUACAAAAUUCUUCCAUAAAUUGAUCCAUCAAUGUGGUAAAAAUACUUGUCAAUGUGAUAAAAAAAAAUUGUUCCAUAAAUUGAUCCAAUACAAGUGCAAAAAAGAGUUUUGUUGGUGUCAAAACUAGCAGUCAGACAUGUAGCAAGCACAAUAGGUUGGACCUGUGAAGUUUUUUUUUUUAAGAAUUAGUUAAUCUAAAACAAAUCUAUUUUGGUUCAUGUUGUAGCUAAUAGUUGGCAAGUAAGAAGCAAACUAGCAAUGCAUCAUACAUGACAGCUUACCUUGAUCUAUAAGAGGCAUUGUUAAUGUUUGCUCCUUCAAUGCAGUAACUCGGCACAUUUUUGGAUCGUUUGCGAUGUCAAAAUAAACCAUCUUUUUUGAAUCAUUCAUCUUAUACUCUUUUGAUAUUGUCAUCAAACAAGUGGUUGGAUGUUUCGGGUGCAAGUCAAUGUUCGGCUACUUGAAGUAUCCUAAUUGACUAUGAUCAUAUAAAACAUAGAGAUACUACCAAAUUUUUGUUCGGAGGGCGCAUUUCAUUGAAGAAGAGGAGAGGAAGCUCAAUAUCAUGGGUAUCUAUUAUAUUCAUCCUCUGUUAUUAAAAAACCCUGAUAUUGUGAGAGCUAGGCUCGGUCAGAUACAAAAAAAAAGAUUUCAUCUUUUCAAUACAAAAAAGAUUUUAGCUUUUUGAAAAAAAUACAAUUUUUUUUUUGUUUAAGAGAUCGGAUGUAAAUUAUUUUGUCUUGCUCAUUAAUGCCCUUUUCUUUCUCAAUCUAUUAACAUAUUGGAUAAUCCUUGUACAUGUGUUGUGUAAUUUUACUGCAAAUUGCUUUGGUUUUUCUCCCAUAGCUCAUUAAUUAUUUUUAUUGAAUUGAUAAACAUUUUUCGUAUAAUUUUUGUUCUAACUUCAAUGAAGGAAGAAAGUAACAUCAAAUAUAACAGCUCUUUGUUGGAGCCAGUUUUCUAUGGAAAUAGCAACAGAUAAUGGACAAAAAACCUAGUGUGCGUUUUUGCAUGUAUAACCAUCAUCACCAUUGUGUGAUCAAAUGCAUGCAUGACAGAGAUUUAGAUAUUCAAUUUGCUAAUUAUGCUGAACUUUGAUUUCUUUACAAGUGUGUCCGCUUUCUUUUACUCAUCAAUGCUCCUUUCAGAUGAAGAUGAGGUGUCUUUCUCAAUUUACUAAUGUAUCGACUAAUCUUAUUACACAUUUAUGUAAUUUUACUGUAAAUUGCUUCAGUUUUUCCCCAAUAGCACAUCAAGAUGCACUACAACUAUUUUUAUUAAAUUAACAACAUUUCUGUAUACAAUUCGCAUGCAACCCUUAUCAUCAUUAUGUGCCCAAAUUUAUCAGUUAACAACAACUUAGUGGUGGCUAGGUAACUUAGAGAUCAUGCCCUUAGAGAUGCUUCACCACUUUUCACCAAGUAAAGAUUACAAAUGUAAAAAUUUUGACCCUCUGAACAAACUUAAAAAUUUACUCUUUGGUUAAAAAACCACAGAAGUAGCCAACUCGAUCUGCAGCACAGUUGGCAAACCUAGUCCAUCUAACUCGAAGAUUGACUAAAGUUACAACAUCCACUAGAGUAACCAUCAACUAAUUUCACCAAAUCCAUGUAUAGAGCAUGAGCAAGUAUAUAUCUCAAGUUCACUAUGUACUACACUUGACCUCAUAGUGAAAGCGAGUCUUUGUUGCUCAACAGCAAAAUAGAGCAUCAAGUGGAUCUCGAUCGAUGGGCUAUGUCAACCAUCAGCUUUGCCCCUGAAGCACAAGACAUCGGCCGAUAUAUAUGGUGCUACAACCAGAUGGCACUCUUCGAAUAUGAGAAACAAUGAACUAGUAGAUGGAAGCUAAUCAUGAUAUUGACAUUGCUUUCUGUUGGUAUUUGGUUGCACCAACUAAUGCAGCAUCUCUUUUGCCUUCGUCAGGCUGCUGCCUUGUACAUACACACAACGCUAAGGAAAUCAAGCAUGACGGUCUCAAACUUGGUCGGACCAAUCGAGCAGACGAUCAUUGCUGGACAUCCAGUUAGGAGCUUCCAUUUUAUGGUAGUCGGAGUCCCGCAGGUAAUUAAUAAUCACAAGACUUCAAUCUCAUGUUCAUGAAUCAUCUUGCAUCAGCUUCUUGGUUCUCAUGGCUAGUGAUUGGAACUAAUUAAUGAACUUGCUUGUAGAGCCUUACAAUAACGGUCAUUAGCUACAUGGGCAAGUUGAAGGUGGCUAUGGGAGUGGAGAAAGGCUUCAUAGAUUCGGAGCUUCUGAUCUCGAGCUUGAAGAAGUCGUUUGAGAGGAUCUUUGAAGCAGCAAUUGGGCAAGAGAACUUAAACAGGUGUUUCUAGUGAUAGAGCAGAUCAUUUGACAUUGUUGCUUAUGGAUUAACUGUUGCUUGCUUCUUUUGUAAUAACCUAGGGUCCUCACCUAAAAUAGUGAGCCGAAAGGUAUUAUUUCGGUUCUUUGAUUUUGUAUAAGUACCCAAGAUCUACCCAACGAAUAAUUGAUAUGGGACUAAACACACACUGCAUGAGUCCUCACAUCUUCAAUGAAUUAUGAGGAAAGAUUUAAGUAUCGAGGCUGAUUCCUAGUGCAAUACUCGUACAAUUUAAGGCCAGAAAUUUUCCUGUAUGCAGAUCUGAAUAUGUCCAUGAAUGGCAGAUGGGUGACCAUGGCAAGAUAAUUUUGAUUCCAACAAUAUUAUAUCUCCAGCCGGAUUGAUAGGUGUCAAAUGCGUGCUGCAACAUGAAAAUUCUACCUUAAACAUCAUUUAUCAUCCACGAGCUUAUCAAUGUUCUCAAUUGUGAGUUCAAAAACGGUCACCUGUGCACUCAGGACUUGUUCCAAUUAAAUAACCAUAGACUACGUAGAUGAAUCCUUAAGCGGCCAUUCAUCUGAGAUUUAUUUGGCACAAAUCAUGAUGCACUUAGGAUCAUGUGCACAAAUCUGAAUGCGCCUGAUUCCUGUCGACACUACUGCCUUUCCUUUGUGCCUUCCCACUGUGUAUCCGUUAAUUUCACUGUCCCUCUGCUUGCUCUUCUUCCCAUAGCAUGUAUUUGACCAACCUGUAAACAUCUGUAACAUUUCUCUUAUUAAUAAACAGGGAGCAGCAGCCUGCAGCUACCUCCUAUUUCGAUUCAAAAAAAAGAGAAAAUAGUAUUGAGCCUAAUAUUUUUUAUUACAAUUGAAAAUCAUAUUUCCCAUUUGUGCACCAAAAAUAAUUCUACAUAGAAAGACCCAAAUAUUUAUAGCAUGCAGUAGCAAAACAUAAGACUUACACAUCGAAUAAGGGGAUUCAAUGUUGUUUGAUGACCAUGCUCAAAUUACAUCCAAAAUGAUGCAAGUUAAAAUAAAAACCGUCGGCAAAAGGAGUACUGGAUCCUUUAUUAGCUGAGGCUAUAGGGGCUUCCUGCCUGUGGGUGAACCCAACAAGAAUAAAUUGAUAUGAGCCCAGUAUGAGCCAUGUCAAAAGAUGAUUCAUAGUUCACAAAGUAUUGCACUGAAAGCAAGUAGCACCAUUCCCUUCAUGCCAUGUUACAAAAAGUUGUGCUUUGAUAUGUUCUUUGUUACGAGGGUUGAGCCCCUUAAAGUCACCGAUACUAAAAAUCUACAACGGUGGUCUCGGUCCCUCGAUUGUUUCUAAACAAUCGCAUAGUUAGGAGAUGGGCGACAAUCAUCCAUCUCCGGAAUAAGCUGUGAAUUGUCUAAGUAUACAUUAUUAUUUAUGAUGCAAAACAUGCACCGCAAAGGAUCUGCACUCAAAAAAAUUUAAAAUUAAUUAAAUUGUUUAGCUAUACAUUUUAGAAAGCAAACCCACAAAUGUGGCUGCAGGCUGUUGCCGAAGAAACUGGUAGUUAUCAGGGGCCGGCAGGCUAGACUCGUGGCAGUUGGAGGACGGCGAAUCUUCAAUCAGUCUGUCGCCGAUGCCAAGGUCAGAGCUGCCUAGGAGGAGGUCUUCUAUGCGAGACAGAUGCUGAUGACAUACCGUAUCAUCCUCGAGGAGAACUCAGCCACUGUGAUCGAGGGGACUUAGGGUCUUGGGAGUGCUGUCGGGGGGACGGGAUUGCUCCACGAAAUUCGUCGUCUCUUAGGCGAAUGCGGCACCUCUCGGGCUAUCCAUGUUCUCAGAGAGGUCAACAGUGCGACGGAUUGGGUGAUGUCCUACGUGACUCAUUACUUCGGGGGUUUUAUCUGGAAAAAUCAUGAUUUUAUUUUAGCUCCAUUGCAUUGUCAUUUAUUGUCGGACUCUUUGGGCUGUACUCACACCCGAUAUGUGUGAGCCGCCGAUGUACCAAAAAAAAGAAAAAACUGGUAGCUCAUAUCGCCCACCCAUAUUUUCUGAUUAAAAUUUUUUAAUAUACAUGACAAGUCCUUCUAUACCGAAGCAAAUCAUAGGUCAUAUGUGUUAUAGUUUUAACUUAGAAAAAAAUAUUAAAUUUAAAAAAUAAAUAUACCAGCUUUAUUUUUUAAAUUUUAAAUGGUUUAAAAAUUUUUAAAACUCUUAUUCUUUUUUAGAACAGACUUUUUUGAAAAGAACGUUGGUUCUGAUUUCCGUAGAGAUGUGAUGUUUCUGAAAUAUUGUAUCUUUGGAAAUGCCGUACCGUUUCAAUCAUCGGAUAGAGUCUAUAAAUAGGCUCUGAGUCCAGUAUUUUGGUUAACUUAAUCCACAUUAGUUCCCUACUUCUUAAGGUGAAAUAGAGAAUUAAUUCUUCUUUUCUUUUUCUUUUUCUCUUUUUCAAAACUUCUUUCAACGUUUUCUUUUUAUCUGGGCAAUUGAAGGAGCUGGUCAGAUCCAUUCUCCUAGCGAUCAUGCCCAUUAGAAGAGGAUUAGACCGAGCUUAGUUAUUUUAUCUUGGGGACGACAUCGCCGCAAACCUGUACGUAGAGGGCGAAUCAUGUUCUUAAGGCAAUGUAUAUCACACGCCUCGAUUUAGACAAAUUCUUUUCAACCUUCUGAUUUUUUUUUCUCUAUUAGAUUAUUUCUUUAGAAUAUUUUUAUAAAAUAAAGAUAUAGCAUUUUUUAGACAAAAUAUUUUCAAUAAUAUGCAUGAAAUAUAACCAAUAUAAAAUAUAAAAUACUAACUAAUAAGAAAUAAAAUAGAUACGUUCUUAUACUUGAUUUACUGAUAGCUUACAGAGCUCCAUGAGCCAUACCUCUACACAUUGCACUAUUGUCACUCAAAAAAGAGAUAAUAUGCUUGCAGAACCCCACCCUCUACGAAAGAAACAACUAGAGACACGAGCAGCGUAUUGGGCAGAGAACUUUUAUCUUAGUUGCAUCAUCUCUGUGCUUCCGAAAGGUGCAGCGCAGCAAACUCAGAUUAACAUUACCAAAGUCAAGCAUACCCGCAGGUCCCGUACUCACACCAAAGCCGGGCGCCCCGUCUUUAUUAAAAAAAUAAAAUUUAUAGAAACUAUUUAUAAAAAAAUUAUAAGAAAAUCCCCACUUUCUGGAUCUAGCGUUGGGACCGUCGACGCUUAAGAAGCGUCGGCAAAUUUUGGCGCUUGGCCAAAAUUACCGAUGCUUUUAGAAAACGUCGGCGUAUAUGCGUUGGCAUUUCUCCUUUUUCCUGCAGUGUUCUCUGAAGAUAAAUGCUUGAAGUUUGAUAAAAUUUUCUGCAAAACAUAAUAAAUAGAACUUAAUUUAAAAAAAAAAAAGAGCAUUUCGCUCCUCCUAUAUUUUCCAAUAGUCAGCAACAAUCAACUGAUCCGCAGAUGCCACAGUUAUUGCGAUCGCUGAGCACGUUCCAGCAGUGGUUCUUGCAGCAGUAGAGGAGCUGGGUGCCGUCUCUGGCCUCGGUCCCCGAGCAUAUGUUGUUGGUGACCGGAUCCCACUGGUCUCCUUUCUUCGCACUGAUCAACUUGAUUUAGCUCUUUCCAAUCUAGAAAGAGGGAGUAGAUCCGGUAUCAGGGUAUCACCUGAGGCUAGGAAGUUAAUUUUUACCUUCGGGCGAAUAGCACAAGAAGAAAUUAAUUGAUACAAGGCCCAUGCUCUAUUACUGAAAGGAAUCUACGAACUAUUUAGCAUGAGGAGUGAUAGGAAGCUAUUGAUGCUUUACACAACUUUACUGUAUAUUGCAUUGAUCCUGCAAGUAUAACCAAUCCCUUCCAACCAUGCAUGUCGCAUGCCAGAUGUGUAGAGAUUUUGUUUUUUAUUUUUGGUUACGAAGGUUGAACCUGGUAGCAUUAUUUGUACAUAUAUACUACUUGAAUCGAGAAUAGAGUCUUGGAAAAGCUGCCUUAAAUAUGUCUAAGCUACUCUCUUCCUCAACUUUUGUCUAAGAUGAUGUGAAGUAGUUGUACUGAAAAGGUGAACGAGGAAUUCGGGGCAUGAGCCAUGCCUUCGCACUUAUUGUUGCUCAAGGAAGAGGUAACAUGUUUACAAAACUCUCGUAUACCACCAUCUCACCCUUUAUGAAAGAACCAAAUAUACCACAAACUCAAGCAGGUUAUUGGACACAGAAUUUCUAUCCUUCAUCCCAACCCCAACCCUACCAGUGUACUUGUAUAAUCUCUAUACUUGAGAAGAGCGCAACACAAUGAACUCUCCCUCCUUAGAAGACACUACGAAGUCAAGCAUAUCCGCAGCUCCCAUACUCACACCUAACCCCAGGGUUGCACACCUUCCCACACUUGCCGCAGUUCUCAACGUCGUAGGCCACCGCGGUGCACUUCCCACUGCAGCAGAGCUGCCCGAACUUGCACUUGUUCCCGCAGAUCCCGCAGUUAUUGCGAUCGCCGAGCACGUCGCGGCAAUGGUUCUUGCAGCAGUCCAGGAGCUGGGUGCCAUCCUUGGCCCCAGUCCCCGAGCAUAUGUUGUUCGUCACCGGAUCGCAUUGCUCCCCCUUCUUCACGUUCUCGGCAAGGAACCGGCCACCGGAACGAGAGUUGAGGCCGAGGAAGUGGUCCGUCAUCACGCUGCCAUAGCUAUCCUCCAUGGCUGAUGCAAUGUGGCAUUGUGCGAAGGUCGAAACGAUCACGAUCAUCGAUAGAAUGGAGACCGCUGAUGUUGGAGAAGAGAGGCUUGCGGCGGCCAUUCUCUCCUCUCUAUCUCUCGCCUUCUUCUCUUUUCCGCUCUCACCUCUUCUCCCUCGACUCUCGGAUAUUUGAAGGAAGAGCUGGACUUAGAAAGUCAGAAUAUUCACGGGUUCACGUUAACAAACCGUAAGCUCACAUUCCUUUGUCUCAGCUCUUUAAUUGCACUGCCAUUUCUUUUAUUUCAUCAACGCGGCUCAAUGAACAGGUAGCACAUGAUUUGGUUGCAGCGGUUUCAUCUUACAAGGUUGACGUUUCCUACUUCAAUGACCUUGGUACGAGAUUGGAUCUCUCUUGGAAGCUGCUCAUUUAGUGGGCUACAAAGUCAAGUUAUAAGCACUUAAUCGUAUCAGGGAGGAGACAUUGGGAGCUAUCCAAGCUGUAAAUUCCUUUGGAACGUCUAUAGAGCUCUAUAUUUCUUGAGUUAAACAGUCUCGUUGAAGAUGGUUGGACAUGACUUGGCACGGUAUUUAGAAUCCAGACUUUCGUUUUUAAUGAUUACUUGAUCUAGACUCAAUUGUUGUUAUUAUUAUUAAUUGUCGACAUCAUUAAGGAUUACUAGUGGAAGUUGUGAUGCGAUCCACAUUUCCGGCGGGAAACGCGUGGGCGCCACAAGAGGUGAGAUACCUGAUCGAACGUCGCACGCGAGAAUGGAUGGUGGGCCCUCGUGGAUCAAGGCCGACCUCCCAUGUGCUGCGGGGGUUCACACGUGCGACGAGGCCAUUAGUGGUUCGAGGUGGCACGUGUUGACCGGGCUGGCUCCUUGAAACAAAUAUUAAAAUAAGCGUUAUAUAAAAAUAAAGAUUAGGGAUUCCUUCGUGGCUAUCGAGGAAUCCGAGCGUUUGGGUCGUAUCUUUCGCGGGAAAGAAUGAUUUACCAUUUUUCGUGAUGUCGACCGUUGGAUCCUGCAAUGGCCACUUCAAGAGCCGUGCAAGCGGAUGAUAUAAAAAUUCCGGUGGUUUCCACAGCCCCGAUAACUCAGUAUUGGUGGCUCGUGUUAGAACCUAAACAGGCCAUCAUGUCACAGGCUCCUGGGUUUCUUGGCCUUCUCGAUAUCCGUGGAAACUAGGAACAUUAGGAAUUUCGAACCCUUUUUGCAUUUGAUCCUAGGGGCCUAGUUUUGAUUAAAAAAAUGAAAAAAAAAGAUCCGCAUUAUUUAUUUAAAUUGAUUGCUUUUUUUUUUCAGCACCAUACGACUCAUACCAAUUUAUUAUAAAUAUAUUUUAAAAAGUUAAAAAAUAAUAAAUGCCCAAGGCAACUCAUCUUCGUCUGUCCAAAAAAAAACUCUCCUAUAGCCAUUUGCAACAAAGCAGAUUAUCCAGUCCGCCGCUUCGUUGGCCUCCCUAAAAAUAUAUUUUGCCCCGAGAAUAAUGUCACUAUUAGUCAUGCCUCAGAUGUCCCGAAAUAAAAAGUGACAUCUCCCAGCUAGGCCAAAACACUCUUGGAUCUAGUAGAUCACCGUGCUCGAGUCAUUUUCUAAUAGAAUGGCAUCGGCACACGCCAAGCAUAACAUAGGUCUACCCAAGCUACUCUCAGCUCUGCCUUAGGAUCGAGAUGUCGAAGAUCAUGCGUCCUCUACCUGCCAUGACUCUAAAGUCCGAGCCAUCGUAAAGUGUACACCAUCCUCCUGCUACCAUCCAAAACACAUCUGGUUAGAACACUUUCUUUGGCACGAGCAAAAAGAGUUCAUCUGUUACUUUAAAUAAAAUGCUCAGGCAUUUACAAACUGUUCCUCCCCUUUGGAUUUUCUUCUUUUAUGGCUAUUUUUUAUUUCUUCCUACAUGCAUUAUUGCAUGAAAUGGUUUCUGUUUUCACUUCCUCUAUCAUUAUUACAGCAGUGCUGCAUGCAGUAACUUUGUAUAUGAGCUUUCUCCGUUGCAGGAUGUCCAUGGUAUUUUAUCUUUUUCAUGUUAAGAGUAUUUCAAUUUCUGGUGGCAUGAGAGUCUUGUAAAAUGCAUUUAUAGAUUGCAACCUAACUUAAAAAUGCAUCAAGUGAAUUCGUGCCUAGAUGUAUUACUUGAUCAUGAUAGCGUUAAAUUACUCAGAAUUCAAACAUUGAUUAGAAUAAUCAGUAACGUUUAUGAAUUGAUUAAAUUGCUGUUUUUUUUUUUGAGAAGUUUGGAGGAAGUAAGAGUCUUCCCCUGGGAUUAUAUUAUAAAUAAAUAUGUACAGCGCUGAAGGCGAGAAUGAGUGGCAUUCGCUGCCGAGGUGAAUCUAAUAAGCUUUCUUAGUAACAAAAGAUGAAUCUAAAUAAACUUUUCUUGUUUAAAAGGAAUUUGUGGCACAUUAAAUUCAUCAUUUUUAAGUGAAUGCAACUUUCAUUGCGGUCAAAUGUUACCCAAAAAUUUUUGUCUGUAAGAAGUUAAAUGCAUCGCAAUAUAAAUAUAUUCAUUAAAUACAAAUUAUUUUUUUAGCCCAAAUACCGAAUAGAAGAAUUAGUUUGUAUGAACCGUUAGUGAAUCUCAAAGUGCCGAUCUUUUAUUCGAUCACGCAUAAAUUUACAUGUAAUAACCUAAUAUGACUGUCGUGUAUCUUUAAAUCAAUUAUUUUAUGGUUUCUUUUUCACAUUCCACCCACUUAAAUCUUGUAGUUAAGGUGAUUUUACACCAAAAGGUUGGUAAAUGUUGAUUUUUUUUAGCAUACCACUGAAUAGCAUGACCACAUGUUUGCCUCAAGUUCAGCUUUUCCAUGCUGCAUGAUUUUUUUUUCUUGGUGUCAUUUUGGUAGGUAUGAAUCAUUUUGAUCACAAAUCACUCCAUGCAAGAAUAAGACUUCUAAACUUUCACCCGACAGUCAUUCAACCUUUUGACAUUCAUUCUAUUGAUCAACUUCAUAGAAACUAAUAAUAAGUCUUUAUGAGUUCCGGUAUUGACUCAAAAAUGAUGCCAACUGAAAAUUGGAAGUUGUCAAUUAACAAUUUCAGACCUAACCUUGAGCCAAAACCAUUAAUUAUUUCCAAGCUCAACUCAAACUAAGCUAGUUGGAAUAGGUUAAUGAGUUUAUUGUUGGUGCAAGAAGGAUUGAAAGGGAAAAAUACAAUAUUAUGCAAUUGGUCUCUUCGAGAAUGUAUUUUUAGGAGGAAAAAUAUUUAGCAUUAGUAUUUUAUGAAUGAAAUUACUUAAGAUUUGAAAACAUGAUCUCAUUAAAAACGGUGAAAAAAAACGUCAUUAAUCAUGGCAAGAGUUCUAUUGGUUACAUGAAUUUUAAAGUUUUCUUAUUAAACAACGUUUCUUAUUAAUUUGAAAUGUGAGGAUUGAACCAAAAAAACUUGAGAAUGAGGAGUUAUGAAAAGAUCUAAUAUACCCAANNNNNNNNNNNNNNNNNNNNNNNNNNNNNNNNNNNNNNNNNNNNNNNNNNNNNNNNNNNNNNNNNNNNNNNNNNNNNNNNNNNNNNNNNNNNNNNNNNNNNNNNNNNNNNNNNNNNNNNNNNNNNNNNNNNNNNNNNNNNNNNNNNNNNNNNNNNNNNNNNNNNNNNNNNNNNNNNNNNNNNNNNNNNNNNNNNNNNNNNNNNNNNNNNNNNNNNNNNNNNNNNNNNNNNNNNNNNNNNNNNNNNNNNNNNNNNNNNNNNNNNGUCAGCCUUCUGAGCUCGGCAGCCUGCUGUGCUCGGCAGCCUUCCGAGCUCGGCUCGCUGUCGGAUUUGGGUGCUUUAAUUGUAUUUGUGGGGUGGUCCAUUUUUCCCCCCAACAACACUGUUUCCGAAUUUGAGUAUAUAAACCUGGGCUCCUAAAAAUAUUCAACUGCAAGCCUACAAGUUUUGAUCUCAUGUCUGAAAUCGCUAAAACAAAGGCCUAAUGCAUGCAACUUAACCAGGUUCAUAAAGUUGAAAGGAAGCCUUACGGUCGAAGUCCAAACUUGUAUCCGAAUUAGGCUAUAAAAGGCACUAAACGCCACCACAAGAUCAAACUAAAGGCAGACUUGAGCUGCUGACCUUUUUGUACUGGAAAGUGGGUUCUAUUAUUUAUUUGGAUUGCAUCUUUUGACUUCUAGAAUUCAUGUAGGUUCUUUUCUAGGAAUCUCCUACGAACUUAGGUCCGUAUGAUGAAAAAAAAAGAAAAGAAAAAGCAUGACUAUAGUAUGAUGGUACCAUGACACAACGAUGAAGUAGUAAAAUGUGUGUUUUGACUUCGGAGUAAGAAAAUUGAGGCAGAAGAAUGGCUAUGUGGACUUUUUCUUUAUUUAUUUUAACAACGGCAGUGCACACACAACAGGUGUGGAUGCAUUCCAUCCGUUCCAAAAAAAUAAAAGAAUACAAAGGAGGACGGGACCAAGAAGUGGUUGUUCUAAAUGAAAUUCUUGGAAUGCUGAGCUGCAAAGGAUGACACUCAAUUUACUGCACUGUUGACCUCCUUAUAGGCAUGAGUAGUCCGAUGAAAGGUGCACUCACCCAAAAGUCAGCAGAUAUUAUGGAUUAGUCGCAUCUUAUUGGAAACAUGAUCCGGAUCCUAGAUCCACUUGAUCAUCAUAGCUGAAUCCCUCUCAAGGAUGCUACGGUCUAUACUCAGCAAUCGUCUCGCAUAGGAGACGCCCUCCUACGCAGCUCUGGCCUCGACACUGAUCACAGUCUGCUCAAAGAUUCGUCGACCCUCAGCCGCCACAAGUCUAACCUCUUGGUCUUCAAUGACAAACCCGGCGCCUCCGCUGCCUCCUUCCUCGUUGACGCCGCCGUAUAAGUUCACCUUGAGAAAAUCAGAGGGUGAGGAAUCCCAAAAUAUAGAUAUAGUCCUGGGUGUGACGAGAGAGACUUGGCUCCAUCCUUAUAUAUCCUUCAAAGUUUCAAAUAGAAAAAUGUCUUCUUCCUUUCUUUUUUAUUUUUUUCCCCUUCUUUUAUCUCCCAAUUAAAGCUGUCAUGUGGGGUAAGAUGGGCCAACCGGUUCGGAUGCAACUGCGAGAUCCAUAAAGCUGCCAUUGGGGCCCGGUCUGGCCGUGAGAGGCGACCAAACCAAGCCCACAGUUGAAAUAGGUCACAUGUACAGUUCAGAUAGCCCGAGAAAAUUCUAUCCUGAAAAUUUAGAUAUAGUUUACUUUUAUACAAUAUAGUUUUGUUAUCAGUUUUUCAAUUGCAUCAGUAAGUUUUCGUGGUUCUAUUGUUGUUGUUGAGUGCGAAUAAGUUAAUCAGCCGGCUUUUCACUGAGUGCAAUGUUUGUCGAAAUUGUAGGAUUUUUAUCUCAGUAAUUAGAUAUACUUAGUUUUCAAUUGAAUCAUUAAUUUUUCAUGGUUUUAUUGUUCUUGUUGAGUGCAAAUAAGUUAAUCAGCUGGCUUUUACUAAGUGCAAUGUUUGCCAAAAUUAUAAGAUUUUACCAUUGGGCAGUUGGUUGAGUAUCACAAACUAAUAACAAAUACAUGCUUUUCGAGUUCGGCUCAUGUAUAAUGCGUGUUUGUAUUGUAGAAGACUGUAUAGCCUUAUGUUGCUAUGUCAUCCAUCUCAGAGAGAAUAAUAUUGGCAACUUUCAGAAAGAGCAUCAUAUUGGAUUUCAAACAUAAUGUGCCACGACAGCCUUUUAUCUUUUAGAUGGAUGAUAUGGUGGCUAUUCAGGAUUCUACCUACGCUUUCUAGCAACUAAUACCUUCUAAAAAGUUACAUAUAAACUUUAGUAAAAAAGCUGCACCUACCAUCAAGAUUGGAUCCGCUACUUCAAUAGAUUCAAGGAUGAAUGAGACUCAACAUUGGUAUGACCAGAUAGGUUCAAGGAAAAUUGCUCAGAACCAAACCCAAGAAAUGGUAAUAUGCUAGGGGCAUGUUCGGCUGGGGAAGUUAGGCUCUAGAAUGAGAAUAGAAAGGACUGACUCUUAUUUAUUGUUUGGUUGGGGAUUCCAUUUCGAUUCUAGAGAAAUAAGAAUGUCCCAAUCCCCUAAAACUAAUCUCCACUCUCCUUUAAUAUUCUAAUCCUAUUAAAUAUGACCAUUCCGAUUCUAAUUUUGAUUCUGAUCAUGAAUUAAACACCUCUAAUUUUCUAUAAAGAUAUAGUCACUCUCUUUUCCUCAGUGAAUCAAGUUAAACCUUAAACUUGCAUCAAUUCAAAUAUUAAACAUUACAAUCAGUUCGAACUCCCAUGAUGAUCAACGCAAGCAUAAGCUUCCAAUCCAGUCCAUUCAUGCAAUCAUACCUAUACCUUUCAUGCUAAAUAGGCCGGUAUCAUUUUUAGAUGCAUAAAAAGUUCCAAUUGGUGCUUCUAAUUUAUCUUUAAUGAUUUUCAUGUAAAAUGUUUUGCUACCAAAGCUAGAGAUGAGCACUUACAAUGUUGCAUUGCAUCGUAAGUCCGCCAACGCAAGCUUCUAUCCGUUAGCAUACUUUAAGUAGGGAUAAUAAUUUACGAUUCAACCCGUCAAUUUGUUUCGUAAACGAUCCACUUUAAGUAGGUUUAGAUUUUACAUAAAUGGAUUUGGGUCGUAAAUGGAUCAAUCCAUCUAAAUGGGUCAAGUUCAUGCUUAAAUUUUUGAUCCGUUUAAUCCGUUUUGACCCGUUUAAUAAUUGGAUAAGAUUAUGACCCGAUCCAUUUGAUCUGUUUCAGACUUAUUUAACUCGGCUCCCUCAACUUGUUUAAAUUUAUUUAACAUGUUAAAAUCCAUCUAAUCUAUUUAAUUCAUUUAAUCUGAUUUAACUAGUUUAAUAAAUAGGUUAAGUUUAAAUUUAAAAUUUUAAUCAAUUUUGUAAUAAAUAGGUUGAAUUUGAACUGAUUGACCGCAUCUAAUUCAAUUUGUAUCUGACCUCACUCGUUCCAAUUGCCACGCUGCGGCUACCUGGACCAAAACGUAAAAGCCAUCGUGCCUCAGCAGACGCCUAUAAAAUCCCCCGACCUCUCCGCCGAAGACGUUGUGUCCUCCAUUUAGGCUCCGUUUGAAAACUUGGAAUUGAGGAGAAAGAAAUGGAGUGGAAGGGAAAGUUAAAAAUUUUGAUGUUUGGGAGUUUUUUAGUGAAGGAAAAGGAGAAAAAAAAAGAGGGAAUAGGAGGGAAAAUUUUGGUCUCCAAUUCUCUCCUUUCUUUCCUUCCAUAAGUGGAAGAAUUUGGAGAGAAAGAAAUUGGAUAUUAAUAAUUUUUUUAUAAUACAUAUUUUACCCUCUACUUAUAAGCAUAUCCUUUUUAUAAUAAAGAUAUUUUAAUAAAAGUGUUAAUAACGUAUGCUUUCUUUUAUUUUCUUUACAAACUUUCAAACAAGGGGAAAAAAAGUACCUUCUUUUUUCUUUUUUCUUCUAAAAUUUUCAAAUAAAAAAAAAUCUAUUCUAUUUCAUUCUUUUCUUUUUUUUCUUCUCAUUAAAAUUUUCCUUCGCUCCCCCCCACUCGCUCUCUCCCGGCUUUUAGAGUGGCCGGGGGCCACGGAGAGGACCCGAUCGGUUUUUGAAGGCGGUGAAGCAGCGGGCGGACGUGUACUACAAGGUCUUCGCCGUCCGGUACGGGCAGCAGAUCCUCCCCCAUCAAAGUGGUGGUUUCCCCUUUCAUCCUCGCCUACGACGCCGCUGCCUCCGCCCCCGCCGCUUUGGCAUACCCGAGCUUGCCUCUCGCCUCGCCUUCGCCGCCAUCUUCGCACGCUGCGUCUUUCUUUUCUUGAUCAGAAACGGGCCUUCCUUUUUUGAGUUCUUGAUCGGAGAUCCCGGUUCUUUUGAGUUCCUGAUCGAUCUUUUUUUUGUUGUUUUUAAUAAAAGUUCUGGAAAACCCUAGUUCUACAAUAUCUCUGAGGUCUUUGAUCAUAGAUAAUUGCGUUUUUGGAGUUCUUGUUCAGAAGCAAUUACGUUCUCUGAGUUCUUGAUUGGAGAUUGUGUUUAUCGGAGAUUUUCGUUCUUUUAAUCCUUGAAAAUUCCCGUUCUAUAAUAUCUUUGAGUUUUUGACAAGUAGUUACGUCGUUUGAGUUCUUGAACAGAAAUAUUUACGUUCGUUUGAGUUCUAGAAAAAUUUUGUUCUUUUAGUUCUUGAAAGCCUUAAUUAUAAUAUCUGUUAAUUCUUGAGCAGAAAUUACGGCAUUUUGACCAGGUGAUCCGAGAAAUCACUUUCUUUGAGAUCUUAACUGGAGAAUGCGUUUUUUUUUUUCCUGACGUCUUUAAAAAAACCUGAUUUUUGUAGUUUAUCUCCCAACAAAUACCCACACGUAACGCACACAAACACACACAAACCUGAUUUUCUUCUAUGAGUUGGGUUGCAGGUUGUAGCAAUUCUUGGAACCUACCAAUAUUUCCUUGGAGUUUGGAAGGAAGGUGAUCUGCCAGAGAUAAUGCUUCGUUUGGCUUUCUGGUUGAUGUUCUUUCUUGUUUUCAGUAUUAUCUUUUUGUGUUCUUUCUGUCAUGAUUGUACUUGUGGUAUUUAGGAGCCAGUAUUUUCUUGAUCUCCUUGCAGCUUUAUGUAUGGCUUGUGGAUAUUCUAUGGAUAUUUGAUGCUUGUGGCAGCGUCCCUUUUUUAAGAUUCCAAUGUUUUUUUUUAAAAAAAAAUUAUAUCAAAAAGGGGACUUCGUACGCUGGAACACAAAAGGAAAUAAUUGACUGUAGGCGUUCAUUACUAGAGAGAAAGUUGUAUGAUUUUAUACUUCAGUUAUAUAGAAAAGUUUGAUAAGCUUAGCUUGGUUUUGAAGUUGCAGCAUAAGGUGCAUAUAAUUUGUUUUAAGUGUUAGGACAGAAUGGAUUUGGUAACUUAUGCUCGUGUGAUUGUUGCCUUUUUGACUAGCUUCAGAGUAAGAAAGCCUCAAUAUCAUUUGCUUCGUUAUAUAUUUAUAUAUUCAGAUGUAGCAAUAAAUUCUCUUAAAAUAAAGGAGAGUGAUAUGAAUAUGUGCCUCCCAAAUCUUAACAAAAUGCUCAGGGUUCAUCAAUGCUCAGCUUUUAACAAUUUUCUAUAUAUUUUUUAUUUAUGCAAAUAUUGAGUAAUUCAGAAUUAUUCAUGCAAUUGUCUUCCUCAAAUAACAUUACCGAGAAAGUUGCAUUCUACUAUCCACUGUAUAUUGAUAUUCUCAUGAUUCAUCAAGCCAUUUGGACUCCAACUUGGACUAAAAUUCCUAAUCUGAAAAUAUAAAUCAUGCAAACUUAAAUCGCCAUAAUGUAGUGUAUGCUUGCUCAUGCUUCGGUAGUCAGUUCCAAUGCCUUUUUAAGGUGCUGGAAGCAUAAUUCUUCCUUUUUUUGACCUUCACUGUAAUAGUAAUGAGCAACCAUCUCCAUUUGUAAUAAUAAAUCAGAACGGACUUAUGCUUAUAAAUAUAAAGUACAUUAUGUUGAUUUACAUAUGGAGUUGUCUUAUAGUUUCCUAGGAAUUCUCGAACAUGCAAUGGUUGGCAAGCAUUACGAUGCACCAUGUGCAAGGGUACAGGGAAGGUGCACCAUGUGCAAGGUUACAGGGAAGGUGCACUAUGUAGUGAAAAUUAUAGCCCAAAAAGGUAGAGUCAUGUCGAUAAUUGAAGUUUUCUUUUCUUGUCUUUUCUUUUUCCAGUAAUGUUAUGGAACUUUAUCUUAAAAAGAAAGAUAUUGUAUAAAAUUUCUGUAUCAAUUGCUAACAGUUGGGAAGUAACUGUUGUUUCAAAAACUUUUCCGUAUAUCAAUUUGAGGAACUACAGGCAAAUAUCCAAAUCUGUAGAUUUAAAUAAUUUCUGGUGAUGUUCUGCACCCAGUACAUAUUUUGUUCAUCUCAACACCUUAUGAACAUUAUUCCAUCAACUCUUCUAGUAUGACAUUGGUCAUCUGUCUUCAUGAACUACAAUUGCUUUAAAAACUGGAAAUUGAAGUAAAAGUUUUAGGCGGAGUGCUCUUAUAUGAAGGUGAUAUACAACAUGAAAAAGAUUACUACUGUCAAUAACUCAACCUUAGAGGUCUAUUUGUCGAGGAUGAGUCCACCCAGUGACCUCCCAGUGCACCAAGCCCAAGUCAUUAGACAACACUCUGUCUCUACUCUGUACUUGUUGACCAGAUCAUGAUAGCACUAUGCCUUUCUAUAGUUUCACUUCUUUGUCAAACCUCACAUGUUUCUUUCCUUGUAAAUGACUGCCAAUUAGAACAAAGAAAAAAGUUCUAUUCCAUUUUCUUCUUGUUAGUACCCACUCUUUUCCAGGGUAGGCUGGUCAUUGCAGAUUGUAGGUUUUCUUGUCUGGUACAAAAACAAUUUCCACUCCACAUCUAUUUUAUAGUUCUGUCUUGUAAAAGAUUUUGAAAUUUUUUAUCAAGUUCUCACCAGACAAUGUAUCUCGUUGAUUUUCAAAUUCUGUUUCAUUGGUCGCUUUGGACUAAAAUGUUAUGAUCUAGCAAUACUCUGAUUUUUUUUUUUGUAACUUGCAAUGGAAAUUCAGUUUUCCAUCCCCACAUUGGAGGCCGUUGAAGAUCCAAAACUAUCCUUGCCUUAUAGGUGCUCCUACACCAAUCCGUCACAUCCUUGCUCCUAUAAUGCAACUCAAAUGUAUAUGUCCCUCCCAGUCAUCUCGAGAAGUACUUAAGAUAGAAACUGCAAAUGGACAAAGCCAUACACUUAGCUCUCCAAAAUAUCAGCUUUUCUUCUAUUUACAAUCUCUGGCCAAUUCUAAGCUUCUCCUAGGCCUUCUGCUCAACUUAAUGUUGCCAGAUCACAGUCCUAGCAUAAUCUUCUUUCUGAAGUCUACCCAUAUUCACCUUUCUUCAUCAGCUUACGUCAUCGUUGCUUGUAUUUCCUAACCUUCAAAGCCACCUUUCAGUUAACUCAGUUUCAAUUCCUUAACUCUUCCAAUUCGCUCCUCCCUCGUUUGCUACAAUCUGCUUUGAAUUCUCAAAGUUGUGACUUCUAUUAUUCUCCAUACUACUCCUUGGUGGAAAAAUUCCUACUAGGAAUAGAGACAAGUAUUAAUUAAAUGUGGAAAGUCUCCUGCCAUUGUAAAGCAGUUCACUAUUAUGCUGACAGUCUUGUUAUCAAUCCUCUCCUAAUUGGGUUGAAAAAAUAUGAAAAAUAAACAAUUAAAUAAUCAUGAUAAGCAGUAGAAAUUCACCCUAAUCUGUGACAUGCAAAAAAGCAUCUAGGAACUGUUGCAUAUUUAUAAGUAGACUGGAACAAGUUUUGAGGAUAACAUGUGAGAGAACUUAAUUUUUGGUGUUUUAAGUCAUUAGUGUGUCUGUAGGUGACAAUGGAGAUAGUAUCUUGAGAGAGAACUUGAAAGAGAACUUAAUUUUCUCAUAAACCUUUCAUCAGUUUUCUUAGAACGAAGCACCCAUAGUUGACCUUCAGGGCAAACAGACUUAUUUAUUACGAGAUAUUGUUAUUUCAUAUCUUCUUUCUUACAUAAUCCCUCAUGUUACUUAUUAUAGCCUGUAGGUUUGACUCCACUAUAGUUUGUGCAGUAGUGUAUGCUUCUUUUAUCCUUUAAAAUGGUAGCUGAGCAAAUCAGACACAAAGAACCUGAGAUUGGAUGGCCGUUCAGUAUAAAGGACAGCAGGAUCUUUGUUUUGUUCUGGUCUUGGACUGCUCCUAUAGAAUGUGUCUUUUUUUAUUAUGGUAUUAUCUGGUGAGACAAGUAUUUAGUGUGCUUUAUAUUAGACAAUAGCAUGCAUGUCAAUUUGUGUUUCAGGUAUCUAGGCGUCAUGGUUACCAUCUCAGCCAAGAUAUUGGUUUUUAACAGUACAGUAAGAUGUAUGUAGUAAAUCAUCUCUUGUUAUCUUGGAUAUGAACAGUUGUAUUUCCGCAUAUUAGCUGAUUAAAUGUUAAUAUUUCACCUGAGAUUUUCAAUCAGUUAAUUAUAUCUUGUUGUUUUUUUAAUAUUUAUACUUGAGAAACAUUAAUAUUAAAUUUAAAAUGAUUAUUUCCACUUCUACUAUAUCAGUUGAUAUUUCAAUAUCUUGAUUGUUAUAUAUCUCUCAAGAUAUUGAGUUUCUUAGUUUAUGUAAUCAAUGAUAAACCAAUAUCGAGGUUAUCUUGGUAUCUCUCACCCAUCGGGAUAGGUGAAAUAUUAGAGGUCCAGAUAUUGUUUGGCAGGAGCCUUUCCAUAUGGAAAAAGCAAUAUAGUUUGUAAUUUCACAUAGGAAGUUACUAUUCAUAGGACCAUUUUGAACAUGGAUCAUAGUGCUUUUACCCUGUUCCUCAUACCCUUGAUCAUAGCAUGAGGGAUCCGAAGAUUACGGCCUUCUGGUUAAUUACCAUACCUCAAGUUGGGAGAAUUCAACUUUAAUGAUCAUGUCAAGCAGAAACUUUGGUGGGCAUACAAGGUUGGUCUGUUACAUUCUUAAAUUAUCGGCAUGCACCUUAUUUUUUAUUUACUUUUAGAAAUUCUUUUUGAUUACUAGCCUUGUGCAUGUUACAUGAGGACCCAUAUUUGAACUUACAUAAACCAAAUUGGAGGUUAAUUCACAACUUGACAUAUGCAUAAAACGAAAAUUAGCUUGAUCUAGAUUUCAGUUACAAAUGAAAUCAUCAAAUCUUUUAAGAAACUUUACAUGAAACAUGGCAAAUGUGCAUAACCACCAAACUGAACAAGGUUAUCAAAUUCACAAAAGGCUAUCUUAUUCAGGAUCUCAUUUUGUUGCUCAUCAACCAAAAAUAAAUAAAUAAAGGAUACCAAAUCCAACAUUCUAUAUUACAUGAAACCCAGAACUCCUGGGCUCAAAUCUAGCUCCAUGAUAAUGAGGCCUGCUAAGUAAAGCAGGGUCUAAACUCACAAUUAGCCAAAUUCACUCUGCCUUUUGUAACAUUACAUAGUUUUUAUUCAUAACAUUAUGGUACACUUAUAUCUUUCUAAAAUAUUUGAACGGCCUCAUGAUUAUUUGAAUAUUCUAUGCAAACUGUAAGCAUGAUUUUGAAACCUUUUUUUAUUCGAACAUCAUAGAACAUCAAUACAAGGGGUAAAAGUUGUGUACUGUUUUCUUUCUGUCCUGUAACUAUGUUCUGUUUUCCACCUGGUGAUAUAUUAUGCACCCACAUAUGGAAUUUUUUUUACUAUUUCGCAUCUUAGAGUUUCUAAUCAGUUUAUGUGUUCAUAUUGAUUUGUGACGUCUUGUAUAUGAGUUUCUAAUGGUUGCUAUGUGACAACCUGGUUGGGAGCACCUGCAGGAUGUGAGUAUCAACCUGUUUUCGAGAAUUUUAUGUACUCUUUCAGAAAUAUGAAGUGCAAACCUCGUCUAAUGAUACCAAAUGUAUAUGUUUUCAAGAAACUGUAUCAUCUUUCCUCUCUUCUUGUCUUCGAGGUAGUUGCAGUAUCAAACCAUAAAAUAUAGUCCAUUAAUGCCCCUACUGAUAUUGGUGAGUGUAUAGCUGACUAGAACAUUGAUAGUUCAUAUUGGUGCUUGAUAAAAGCUUUUGCGACUAAUAUAUGCUUUAAAUCAAAUAUGCGGUUAACGUUCAUCCAUAAGCUCUAGGGACGGAUUUUUUGCAUAUUAUUUGGUCUAUCUAUACAACUUCCUUUCCUAUGAUUUUUUUCAAAGAAGAUACACAACUAUAAUCAUAACCAUCCAUUCUUUUCCAAAGAGAUACAUGAUGAACUAUAUAUCAGCUAAUUUCCCAUGUAUUUUUCUUAUAGGAUAUUCUUUUAAAGAGAAUUUUUGAAGAUAGGAAUAAAUGUAGCUUAUUCAAGGAAAGUGCAAAAAGUAACAGAGAAUAAGAAAAUCAAAUGUAAGAAUGUACUCUGGAUUAAGUUGAUAAAAAGGAAAUAUAUCUUUGCUGCAGUAAUAUACAGCGCUGAAGGAGGACACGAGCAACUGAACUCAUUUAUAUUUGAUUAAAUUUGUCAUUGUUAGUCUGAAAUGAUCUGACCACAAUGAUCCAGUGUAUUGAAGAGAUUACUUUAAGUUAUCAUGGUCCUACAUCUGUCCAAGUUAUCAUUUAAUAACUGAAUUAUUUAGAAGUAAAAAUAAACAAAUGCAUUUUAAACAAUCUAAGGACUAGUGAGGUGUCUAAUACAAUCACCAUAUAGAGGAUUGAUGAAAAUGUGCUUCACAAGUGUCAAUGAGAUGUUUAACCACCCCCCUCCCCCCAUCCCAACAGACACAAAUAAAAAACGAAACACAUCCUCGCAAAAAAUCUUUUUUCCUCGCGCUCUUCUUUCCUAUCAAGUUAGAUUCAAAAUUUCAGUAAGAAAAAGUUUCGUACUUAUAUACAUAUAUAUUUUAGUUCAAACGAGAUUUGUUGGAGUUAUUAGAAUUUAAAACUUUUAAUAAGUGGGAUUUAGGAAGUAAGAGAUGUGAUCCGUGAUAGUGGAUGAUAAGGCUUUGAUUUAGGAAUUUAACCUAACUUUUUGCAUGGGCUGUCAGACUGAAUAAUAUUUUUGUGAUUAAGAGGGAGAUCUACAUUUUGGAAUGGUAAAACUUUGAUUUUUUUUUUUGUGCUUCUGGUGGUAUAUGCGGGAAGAAACCAAACUAGAAGGUACAAACAAGAUCCAUAAUGUAUAACCCUGCAGACCGUCAAGUUCUUUCACCCAAAAGCUUAAGUUAGAGGCCCUUGAAUUUUUAUAUUUCAUUGAAUAUGAUAUUUUCUUUGCUUCUAAUUGAUCCACCAGUUUUAAAGACGAGAGAUCCAGAUGAUAUGCCUCAUAUUUAACAUGUUUCAUGACGGUAAUAAAAUUGAGCUGUCUGUUAGUCCUGUCUCAGAUGCUCACCAAUAUUCCACCACACCCAAGUAACUAAUCCAAUAAAGUAUGUUACAUUCUUUUUUUCCUUAUAAAUUUUUUCAUAAAUCUUCCAACCCUCAUUCUGUAAAAUAAUUCUGCGACCGUUGACCACUUAGAGUGGAAUUUUCAGAAAAGUUUUUGGCUCUAAAACACUAUGUGGAAUUAGGAAUAUAGUCAGAUCUGCUACAUGAUUUGGUCACCAACAUAUCCUGUUGGUACUAUAUCUGCUUGUGUAUAUGUGUGUGUUUUUUGUGUAAAUUUCAAAUUUGUUAUAUGCUUCGCAACUGUAUGUUGUGUUGUUGCCUUUUCCGCAAUGAAAUGAAACUGCUUCCAUUUAUUCUGCAUUGCUCUUGUUAGGAGGUCAUAAAGGAAGUAAUGAAACAUGUACCCAAGUAAUUUUCAUUGUUUCCCAGGAGUACAGCACAUGUGGAGCUAAUUUAAAAUCUUCCAGAAAGCUUCAUAGCAAGGAUGCAGGUAGGGGUAGGCUAAAGUGUUAACCUUCCUUCUAGAGACCCAUAUCCUACUGGGAAACACUGCAAAGAAUUUUUGAUGGUAGAAGGUAUGCUCUAGGAACGAGGAGCAAUCGGAAUAGCUUGAGAUUUGUCAUUCCUGUUCAUGUCAGAAACUGGAAGUUGGACAGCUACUAUCAACUUAUAUGUCAAAUCUGCAUGAGGCCAGUUGCUUGCUAGUAGAGUUCUAAUUGCUCUAUCAGUAGAGUAAGGAAAUCUGUUUCCUGGUAAGUCGCUGAAAUAAUAGGGAUUUUAUUUUUAACACAACCCUAAAAUAUUUUUUAAUGAAAUUUGUUUCUAACUGCAGGAGUUUCCUAGGCUGUGUCAUAUUCCCCUCUUUUUAACUCAAGAAAGAAAACGAAAAUUGGCACUUUUAAAACUUAAAAAAAAUGGAGGGAUAAUCAUAAUAUGAUAGUAAACAUCAAAAUAAAACUUAUUUUAAGUAUUCAUAAUCAAAUUCAGUUAGUUUUGGUUGGGGCUGGCUGAAACCGCUGAAAUUGAAUUAAAAUCAAAACCUGAAAGUAGGGGUCACUUUGGUUUAGUCUUGGCUAGAACUAAUCCAUUUCAUAUGCAACUGGUGCGACAGGUCAGUCUUGAGUGAAACCUAAAACCUUGAUUGAUCACUUAUUCUUUCUUUUCAACAAUUAAACUGGAUUGCUACAAGACGAGGAUUUAAAUUGGCAAGUUGUGGGUGGGCUAGUUUCAAAGUGGAACAGUCUCUAAUGAAAUGUUCCUACAACCUAUCCAAAGCCCACUACAACAUGCAAAACCAAUUUGAAACUAUGAAGGGAGACCUUCAUUUCUUGAAGUUCAACAGUUCCAAACUUGGAGAACAAAGAAUAUGAUUUCACCUGUUUAGGUGGCAGGGCUGCAAUUCCCACGGGAUAUUAUUUGCUUCACCUAAACAAAAUGCCGUUAUUUUCAGAAUAGUAUUAUGUUGAAGAUAUGCCUCAAGGUUCCUAAAUUCUUAAGAUAAUUUGUUAUAUACUGAUUCUGGAUUUGGCUUGUUUUUUUGGAUAUAGGCAUGAGGAACGUCUGAUUAGUUCACCUGGAACUAACUGCUAAAUCAGAUUACGGUGAAUUAAUGUUUAUAAUUAGAAUUAGUGUUCAUGAUUAAUUGCACGAUUUUUCCAGUCUUGAAAACAUUCAAUUCUCAUUUAGGUAGUGGUAUUUUCCCUCUAUGUACUCUGUAUUAGGCACAUAUGAACUACUGCAAUUAAGACAAUGCAUUAUAGGCAAUAUUACCGUAAUUUAAUAUGUAAUUUAUUAACGAUGUGAGAAAUUUCUGGUCUGCUUAUUGGUUCUGUCAUAUAUUGGGACAUGAGUUAUUAAGCCUCAGCCAUGCAAUGCUUUCCAAUUGAACAUUGAAGUUAAAAAAGAAGAUUGUAGACCCUUCAUGGGCCGUGUUGGAUUUUAAGUGAAGAGGCUUGAUGUUGGUUCAUCUUGCAGGUACUCAAAAUUAUAGGUCAGAUCUUUUGUAGGCCGGCCUAUUUGAAGUUCUAUAUCGAAAUCCUAACUGAGAAUAGAAUUGGUUAAAGUGGGACAUGGUUGUUAUUAAUCAUAAUGAAAUGAUAAAAUUAUUUUUCUUUUAUAUACAUCAUUCACCUUUAUUUUAUUCUUUUUUGUUGUUAUUGGUUUUGGGGGAGGGGCAUUCUGUUUGGACACAGUUAUUUUAUAGAAGUACUUGAGUUUUAGUUUUAAGAUUUUGGGCUUAUCAUUUCCUAUUCUGGAUGAUGCUUCUCGUGAUCUCUCAAACAUUUUCAUGAUUCUGGACUGACACCGUUUUUAGUUCUUUGCUUGCUAUUUGGUACUUUGUCCUAUAACCCUACAAACAAAAAUGUUUGAUAUGCUUAUGUUCUCUCAAAAUUUCUGCAUGUGGAGAAGAUCAAAUCUGCAUUGUUCAUAAUUAAACUUAAUGAGUUAAUUGACAAAUAAUAUAAUUAGUAAUUUGUUUCUCAUAUAUAUCAGAAGAUGACCCCGUGGUGAAGAUGGUGGUUAUUCUAAAGAAGAGUCUAAGGUAGUCAUAUGAGCAAACUGUUUCCUUUAGGCCUUACUGUUGUAUUGUCUCAUCAUUCACAUGCCCUGUAAUUCUGAGGCGGGAAAUGCUCCUUUUAUUUUUGUUUUUUUCCUUCCUUUCUUUUUUUGGGCCAUUGAUAUGUCAAGAUACUGGAUUGUACCUAUAUCAUGCAGGCAAUUGAAAAUUUAGGGCCCUUCUGGUAUUGCUUUUAUGUUUUUUUUUUUUUCUUUUCAAAAGCAUAUGAAAAAUAUACUGGACCGCAGCUCAUAUGUUGAAAUGGCUUCACAUUUUCAGAUUGUUUAGUGAAAAAUUUUGGAGGCUUUGGAAACAAAACUUCAUUGCUUUCGGAAAUGAGUGAAAUAGAAUUAAGGAGGUUCCGUGGGAGCACAGUCUCCCAUGUCGAGAUCUAUGUGAAAUUUCACGAAUCCGUAGAUGUUGAUUUGUGCUGUUAGUUCCCCUUUCAUCUUGGUUGUGGACCGGCACAGUUUUCUUCCCUUUUUUUUCCCCUCAGCUUAACCUAUGAAGUUUUUGAUAGAGACGGACAACCUAUUGGAUUGCAAAGGUUUCCGUUCCAGCAAGUGGACCUUCCAUCUGGUACUUCAACAUCUUUCCAGAUGGCAAAUAUUUAUGUGUUUUCAGAAUGAAAUUUACAGUUGAACAUUCUAAUAUACCUAAGAUAACGGGUAUCAUUAAAUUCCAUCUAUGCGUAUACUUCCCAGUCUGCAGGAUAUAAUUCAGAUAGAUCCAAUUCCAGUCCAAUAUUUUGGGGAAGAUUCAGGUCUGACUUAUUAAAUUGUUAUGCUUUUGAGCCCAAUGCCUAACCUUAGCUAUCGCUGAGUGGUUAGGUUGUUUAAGUUACUAAAUUUUGAAUGGCAGCGAUCUGGAUUCGAUCCUAAUUUUAGCGAGGCUUUCUUCCAUUCUAUUUUACUUAAGAAAAUAUAAAACAGUUCAAACCUUAAUGCUUGAAAAUCAGAUAUGAAAAUUAAGAAGCCAUAGCUUGUCUGUGUCCACCAUGGCAACUCCAAAGUAGAUCAUGAUAGGGAAAUGAGAGAAGCAGGAUGCGUGAUAAUAUGUGGGUAUGCGGUCCAUGCUUCAAUGCUAAUUUUUAGAAACCAGAUCAUCCAUGCAGCUUCAUAUACAUAUUUUCUCCAUAACAUUCACGGAAACGAGUUGAGAGAGAGAGAGAGAGAAGNNNNNNNNNNNNNNNNNNNNAUAACAUUCACGGAAACGAGUUGAGAGAGAGAGAGAGAGAAGAUAAGAGCCAGCUAUAGCUAGGUCUCUUAUUACAGCCACAUGAAAUAAUACACGACGGUAAUAUUAGUAUAAUAGUAGGGCCAGCAAUAACAGCACCAGUCCUGUGAACAAAUUGGAUAGCAUGGAAUGGAAUGGAAGUUACGACAAUUCACGGGGAGGAGGGAAAGUUUUAGGGACCUCGUGAUGGACAGUACUGACUCGGAACAAUAAAAAUAACCAAACCAGAUCUCCCCGCUAUUCUUUCCUUGCUCAUUGCUGCUUUCAUAAAAAUCUUGUUCGCUUCUACUGGUUGCUGAUCAGUUGAAGAUCCUCUGGCACUGCGUGAUGACGCUGCAGCCACGGCGGUAGGGGUUGGCGCUUUUCCCCCUGGAGCAGUUGUAGUACGACCGGCCUCGGCGGUUGCACGGGACUCGGUUCUUGGAGAGCGCGCCGUAGCUAAUGUGCCUGACGCCGGCUCUUGCCAGGCCACGCCGGCUGAUCCCGGUCUCCGUCUCCAUCUCCGUGUCCUCGUCGAUGCACUGGCCUAGAAGCCCGUCACACCUCCCAUCCCCCCUGGCGGCAAGGAAGUCCGCGACGGCCUCGGAGCCGACGGUGUUGAGGGCCGACGAGUUGGUGGUGCAGGCCACCGCCAGCAGCAGGAGGAGGAGGAGGAGGAGGAGGGGGAAUCCGCGGCGCGGAGCCAUGCGGCACAAAGGUGGUGGGGGUGGGUGGGUGGCUCUUCUCUUUGCUUCUUCUCUUAUUGCGUGUCGGUUUUGUUAGUUAUGGGCUGGCCUGGUCCCUUCCCUCGCUUGCUCUCCCCGGGGAGAGGGAGAGAUAUGAUAGCCGAAAGGAGAGGAAAGGGGGUGGUGGGUCUGUGGGUUUUCGGGGAGAGAACGUAUAUGGCGGGCUUUCGUUUGGGACGCCGUUGGGGCCGGGAUGUCUGACAUCUAUUGGGGCCGGGCGCCCGUUUCUUUCUCCUUGUUUUUCGCUUUGGGGGAAGGAUUUCACUUGGCGUUCGCACGAAUCGACCGAUCGAUGGAUCAUGCAAUGAUCCGUGCAGGCCGUGGAUGAAAGAAUUCUCUGAGAUCCACGCCCUCGUCCUUCGGUGGCUAACCGCCAGUUGCUAUAUUUGCCACCUUCAUUGCCAGCCUCCAACACCACAGUCGCCGUUUACCAAAACCGAAAGAGAGAUUUGACGGACAACCAUAUGAGUCGCACUUUUUUUUAUCGAAUGCCUCCUAAAUCUGUCUCCUACUUGGGUUGGUGGUUCGCCAAGCAUUCCUCCUAGCAAAAGUGUUGCUUAGCUAUGUAUAUAUUACAUGCGUACCUUGCAUGCACGUGUGGUGGCUUGCUUGUGUUGCAUUUGAUGGGAAUCGAAUUGACACAAGCUCCACAUGCAACCCACAUGAUGAAAUGCUCCAGUUUCGAAUACCUCCAAAUAUACCUUCUGAAUUCAUACUUUUAAAUCUGUCGAUGCUCAAUCUUCAUCUGAGAACACCGAUUUACCUUUUCCUCGAGUAGGAGAAGACUUUGUGAUUCCGUCGUAAUAAAAAAUAAAAAAUAAAAAAAGGAAGCAUGCCGCUAACUCCCGGUGCGAAGGAAAAGUGUUCUCAUUCCUCUUGCUUUAACCGAUCACCAGCCUGCAGUUAGUCAGUCUCAGAAGAAGAAAGAAAGAAAUGUGGAUGAAUGGAAAUUAAUUUCAUUUUCAUCAAAAUGAUAAAACCCUGUUUGAUAAUAAACUUUUUCCCGGAACAGGAUAAAAGAUUCACACUCUCCAUUUAUUAAACGAACUGAAAGAGAAGGGAUCCAAUGUAGCAUUUUUCGCUAAAUACCAAAUCUAACAAGUUAGAAAUCAACCUCAUUCAUAAGAUGCAUCCAAUGAACUGCAAAAAGCGGCAUUCAGGACAAAAGCCACCAGUCCUAGAGAAGCCCCUGAAACAAUUGCCGAAACAGAGAGAGUGGAGGAAGAAGACGAGGGAGACGACGAGGGAAGACUCGGACUUGAUGGCACAGUUGCCAGCGGCGUAGAUGAAGUGGAGGAUGGCGGUGGUGGCGGAGGAAAGGAAGGAGAAGGAGACGAGGGUGAUGGCUGGGGGCUGUGUCUUGUUUCUAUCUGCCAUCGCCACCACGGUCAGCUUUUGUUCCUUCCUGCAUCGGUCGGGAACGCCACCGAUGAAAAAGAACGGACCCGACCGAUCGACCUGGAACACCGAGCUGCCAUCAUCGAGUCUUUGGAUAGGAUUGUUGGCGUUGCACGAGUCAUAGUUCUCUUUCUUCACCCCCAGAACUGAAUCCUUCCCCUGCUUGUACUUGAAAACUUAAAAUACAACACCAGAACUGUUGAAGUCGGAGAAGCGCGCGCUUCUUGCAGACUGGGUAUGGGAUUAGCUCUUCUUGCAGUUUAUUUUUAAUUUUUUCGAUAACGAAAGGAAAUUAAAACAGCAUCAAGAUAUCCAACACUGGUCCAUGGCAGGUCGCGAAAGAAACUUAGAAGAAAGAAAGAUGGAAAGCUAUAAGGCAAUGAUCAAUAAUAUAAUGUCAAAUUGUCUAUGAAUAAAGGAUACAAUUGAAGAUUUUGGUUCGUACGGCAUUCAUCGAAAUUUGCAGUCCAACAAGCAUAUAUAUAUAUCCAUCACGUAGGUGUGCAUGAUCAUGUAUAAGAUCAUAUUAUAUGUCUAGUAAGCAUAGAUCAUGGUGCGAUAGAAAAGAUUCAAACACAA